rnacentral:lncRNA from 1 species
UCUCGCAUGCACCGCUGCCUCUCGUGCCACUCGCGGUGGUGCUGGCAUUGCCUCCGGCAGUGGUCGCCGCCAUGGCCGCCGCCGCCGCCGUGGUGGUUGUCAUCGUCGACGACGUCGUCUUCCUCCUGGCGCCUGUACCUGCAGUCCUGCAUGCAUUGCUGCCUCUUCCAUUGGUCGUGGUGGUGCUGGCAUCGCUUGCGGCAGUGUUGCUCUCUCUCGCCGCCGUAGUUGUGGUCUUCUUCCUCGUCGACGGCGGCCUCUUCCUCCUCCUGGCGCCGCCACUGCCUGCAGUCUUGCAUGCAUUGUUGCUUCUUCCAUUGGUCAUGGUGGUGUUGGCACUGCUUGCGGCAUUGCUGAUCGCCAUGGCCGUCUUCUUCCUCGACGACGUCGUCUUCUUGGCGGUGAUGGUACCUGCAAUCUUGGAUGCACUGCUGCUUCUUCCACUGGUCAUGGUGGUGCUGGCACUGCUUGCGGCAGCGAUCGCCGCCGUGGUUGUCGUCUUCCUCGUCGACGUCGACGGCGGCGUCUUGUUGGCGCUGGUGGUAUCUGCACUCCUCCAUGCAUUGUUGCUUCUUCCACUGGUCGUGGUGGUGGCGGCACUGCUUGUAGCAGGGGUCUCUGCCAUGGUGGUUGUCGUCGUCGGCGUCGACCUCCUGUCGCCGGUGGCGGCAGUCCAUGAGGCAGCGCUGCUUCUCCCACCAGUCCUGCUGGUGCUCGCACUGCUCACGGCAGUCCGGCCUGGAUCCGCCAUGGCCGCCGCCGUGGUGGUGCUGCUCGUGGCGGCGCCACUCGCACUGCCUCAUGCACUCCUGCUUCCGCCACGGCUCGUCGCGGUAGCCACGGCACUCGCGGCGGCACUCCUUGCCGCCGCCGCCGUGCGUGUUCUCGUCGUCGUCGUCGUCCUCCUGCUGCCGCUGGAGACACUGCUCCUCGCACUCCCUCAGCUGCCGCUGGUCCUGCCCGGCCUCCCACCGGCACUGCUUCUUGCACCACCGGAGCUCCUCCUUCGGGUCCCGCCGACCCUCCUCCUCCGCCGCCGCCGCCGCCACGGCCACCAGGAGCAGCCCGGCGGCGAGCAGGAGGAGCGCGCCACCACCUUUCCACUUCACACCCAUGGCUAGCUGGAAGAAGCUAGCAACAAAGCACCGAGAUAGUAGUCGUACGCCGUCGACAGGUGGUGGUGGGGAAUGGCGUUGGAGGAGGCGGAAGCGGGGGUGCAUUUAAGCUCGGCGGAGGGCGGCGGCGGGGGGGAGGUGGCGAGGCGACGUGUCCGCCAUGGGCUCAUGCAGCGAGCCCACGUCGCGCGCGGGGGAGGGGGGAGGGUGGUAGGUGUGAGUUGGCGGGUAGCGGCGGCGCGCGGUGCAACUGCUACGCGGCGGGCGCGACGCCGAUCGGGUCGGGGGGGGGGGGGGGGGGGAGUAGGUGGAGCUCGUCGGUUUCUUGGCCAUGCCAUCCAUGGCGAGGGGAUGGCGUGUACGAGGAUUUGGAUGCCGGGGAAGGGACGAGCUGGCAAGCAUAUAUGCACGUGGAUAUGGGUGUGGUGGCAGCCAUGGGUCUACGUGGAAGCUGGGGGUGCAUGCAUGGGCCGGGCAAAAUUGGGCUUUAUUUCUUGGGUCAAAAUGGGCCUUAUUUGUUGGCUGGUAACUGAUCUGGUGUGCUGCGCUGGGCUUCGACGUGCUCCGUUGGAUCAGGGCUGGUAACUUGAAGUGGACACGCCGUCUUCUACUUCACCUCUCCUCUUUUCUUCUCUUCCGUUCCCUCAUCUUCGCCAUGUGGGAGAUAGCCGGCGACAUUGUCAUAGGCUCGGUCGAUUCGAGAUAGGAGGAGGGGGGAAGGGGGGGGAGGGGGGCAGAGCCCACGGGGACCCAACCGGUUGCCGUGGUCAGCAUGCACUCUGGCACAAUACCUCCAUCGUCCGAUUGCUCCUUAACCGCGCAAGCGCAACCCCCUCCCUUACUCGUUUCCACCUCUCUUGCACGGAGGCCAAGCUAGCACGAGCUCAGACGAGCUUGCUGACCGCCUUCCCCUCCCUCGACUACCCUCUAUGGCAGCCUAGCGUGGUAGUAGCUCGCGCCUCGACUACCUCUCACGCUCCUCCGUCCACCUCCCUCGCAUGGAGGCCGGGCGAGCUUGAGCUUGGAUGGGCUCGCCGACCACCUCUCCAUUCCUCUCCCGCCUCCGACUCCCUCAGCCACCCCUCAGGGCGACAGCCCGCACCUUGACCGCCUCAUCUGUCCCCGCCUUCGUGAAUGCGCUCUCCCUACGUCUUGCGCUUCUUCCCGACCGCCUCCCCAUCACCAGGGUCCAGGAGAGAAGAAUGAAGCAGGCAUUGCCACGUGGGCCCCAUGGUUUUUUAUUUAUUUUUGCUAACUAGGAUGCCACGUCAGUAAAACCAACCACCUAUAGUGUCAUAGGACCUAAUUUAGUCCAGUUUCGUAAGUUGGGGUUAGGAUUUUAGUAUUGUGUGUAGGGAUAUGAUAUUUAAACUUGAUGGAAAGAUGAGGAACCUUAAGUAUACUUAUUACGAUUAUCAACGAUGAGUCGGCCCUUGGAUUAGGUGUUCUAUUUUUUGGUUUUUGUGUUGAGAAUAAUAUGGUUGGGUUUUCACGUUGGACACAUCUGGGCUUUGAGGUUAAGGUUGCAAUUUCGAGUAGGAAGUUGAAGCAUUUUCUGAGUUGAAAAGUCAAGUUUGCAAUUUUGAGUAGAAACGCGAAUCAUUUGAUUCAUUUCCGAGUUGAAAAGUUGAGAUUGACAAUCUCAAAGUUCAAAGUGAAUUCUUUUUUUUACACAGUUCAAAGUGAAUUUUGGUUAAAACCCUCAGGUUGUAUUUGGAUAAUGGGAAAUAUGUGGUGGAAUUGGGAUUGGGAAAUGAACGAAGGGUUAGGAUUAAAUGGAAGAAGGAGAAUAAAUGGUUAAAAUUUAAAGAUGUCUUUUAGUGGGUGGGAAAUGAUUUCCCUUUCCCAUUAGCCAAACGGGGCCUCAGUAUAUUUUCAAUUAACAGAAGUUUAAUACUUAAUAAUUUAAAUGACAGUUCAAUAUUUUAGCCAUGACACAUGGCAUCCAAUGAAAGGGUCGUCCACUAGAAAUAAAGGUGACAGACGAUCACUGAAUAGGUACACCCAUACCAGCCACCUUUCUAUUGUCUUUGCACUUGGAUUGAAAAGUGGUCACAAGGGUUAAAACCCUGAAUCAUUCGGAAAUGUUUUUGCCACACAAAUGAGUUCCAAAUACACUGAGUGACACUACGGGUCAGUCACUAAAAUUUCUGAAAUGUUGUUACCUACUCGUCUCUUUGUCCAAAAAUAAACCAAACUCGUACGGUGUGAAUAUAUCUUCAAUGUUACCUACACUGUACAAGGUUAGCUUAUUUUGUAACGGAGGGAACAUACAUCUUUCGAUAACAUUAUAAUUGUUGUGCCGCCUUGGUUCAGUUCAAAUUUCUUUUUACAAAAUUCCGCUUGCAUCUUUGUCCCGGCGCGGCAAAAAAAAAAUCCACAAUAAAGGUAUCAUAUAAAAACAAUGAUGGCAGUUAAUCAGUUUAGGUUGGUCACUAUCUUAAUAGAUGCAAAUUAAGUUGGGUUGUAGCGAAACCAACGAACGGCAUUUGUUUUGUGCUCCCACGAUACAAUCCCUUAAAUCAGCACACACGCACAAUGCAUGCACCACAUUUUAGAUCGAUUUCGUAGAGAAUAUUUCGAUCACAUAGCCACAAUUAAUCUACAUUCUAGAAGCUCCAACAAACUUAUUUAAUUAGUUCCUGCAAAUUAACAUUUACAAAUAUCUCAAACUGAAGAAAUAACUUUAAUUGCAAUGCCGGCAGCCAACCCGGCGUGUAUGCUUCCAUUUGUUCGAUGUAAAGUGCUGUUUAUCCAUAGGAAGAGAUGUAAUAUUAAUAACUACUCCAUCCGUUUCUAAAUAUUUGACGUCAUUGACUUUUUUUAAAUAUGUUUGAAUGUUCGUCUUAUUUAAAAAAAUUUAAGUAAUUAUUAAUUAUUUUUCUAUCAUUUGAUUUAUUGUUAAAUAUACUUAUAUGUAUACAUAUAGUUUUACAUAUUUCACAAAAGUUUUUGAAUAUGACGAAAGGUUAAACAUGUGCUAAAAAGUCAAUGGUAUCAAAUAUUUAGAAACGGAGGGAGUAUGUUUGUUGAAAAUGUUUUACCUUCUCUCAAUCUUAAUAAAUUUGGUCAGGGCAGGCACAGAAAAAAAAAAACAGGAAGACAUAACAGCAAAACAAAAACAGUGGAAAUUAAGCAUUGCUAAUUACAAACUUUUCUGAUCAUUCACACCAUUUUCAUGUUUGAUCCAGCUCAAACUUCACUACAACAGCUUAGAACACUCUUAGCUAGCAAAAGUCCUAAUCACAGCCAUUAUAAAUAGACACAAGCAAUUAGCCUCAUCUACACACACUCCCAUCACUCCAAUUAACCAAAGCUAAUUAAGCUAGCUCAAGCUCUAAUCCACAUUUAGCUAGAAUGGCGCCGUCCAAGUCCACAGCCGCCGCCGGCGUCCUCCUCGUCCUGCUCGUCGCGGCGGCGGGCGGCGGCGCAGAGGCGGCGGCGACGACGUGCGUGGCGUCGCUGCUGGAGCUGAGCCCGUGCCUGCCGUUCUUCAAGGACAAGGCGGCGACGGCGGCGCCGGAGGGGUGCUGCGCGGGGCUGUCGUCCAUCGUGAAGGGGGAGGCGGUGUGCCUGUGCCACAUCGUGAACCACACCCUGGAGCGCGCCAUCGGCGUCGACAUCCCCGUCGACCGCGCCUUCGCCCUCCUCCGCGACGUCUGCCGCCUCUCGCCGCCGGCGGACAUCAUCUCCACCUGCGCCAACGAGAAAGGUAAAAUCAAUCAACGCGCCGCGCCGUGGCGUGGCGUGGCGUGUGCAGAAGUCCAAUGCAGACGGUUUUCGAAUCAUCUAAGUUGACUCUACGUCUGUAAUAAUAUAACACUCGUCUCCGUAAAUUAAAUUCUCAAUUUCUGAAUUUUUGUUUUGCCGCGCGCUGGGCUCCCUCUCUUGUUUAAAAUCCAAGAGAUAGGCAUAGGCCCAAUACAGGGUUUAAAAUUUCGGUCCAAAACUUCCGAAAAUUCCAAAAUUUGGGAAUUUAGGAUCCUCCCCUCUCAUGCAACUAUUUCAUCCAAAAUUUUUAGAUUUUUAAAAAUAUUUAUGAAUCUGGUUAAAAUUAGUUGAAUUCAGUCAAAAUGUGUUUAAAUUUCAAAAUGUUUCGUUCGAAAUUUCUGAAUUUUGAUACACCCGAUUUUUUUUGUCCAUUUUGGAAGUACAAAGCCCGGGGCCAAACGAAUGUCCAAAUGAUCAAGUUUAAAAUCUCAGUUCUAACUAGGACUUUGUUUAUUUAUAGAUUUAUAUGUUUUAAAAGUGCAACGUUGAGUAGUGCUAAUUAACUAAUGUACAUAUCAUGAUUGACUUGUGUGUAGGUGGUGUGCCGCCUCUCUACUCUUGCCCGGCUCCAUCUGCCUGAGGUAAACCGUCGUCAACCACAAAAUUAUUUCCACAAAAGAGCCUAUAACCAUGCUAAAUUUCUACAGUAACUACUCAUAUAAUUCAGCUGUUUUGUUUAUAUUUUUUUUAGGGGAGCUGUUUUGUUUAUAAUGACAAGUGCUUUUUAAUUCAUGCAGUAUAUAUGAGAAAAGAAUAAAUGUUACCAAAGGAGGGAUUUCAACAUAUCUAAAAGUCAAGAUGGAGUAACUUUGGUAUACAAGACCAACAUAUAUAUCACGUUGUUAAAGGACAAGUAGAUAUUGGAUUAUUGGCAUAUACUGAUAUAUCCAUGCUAAUAUUAGUAUAUGUAUAUUCUGCAACAUGCAUGGACAUACACAUUGUCAAAUGAAGUACUAAGUAACACGGAACGUGUACUAGCUCGUGCUACUGUCGUGCUAUGCGCUGUCAAUAGAAAUAAAAUAUUUUACAUUGUGGUAUUAAGCAUUAAAGCCAUAUUGUAUUCUAAUAUUAUCGGGCGGAGAUUGCGGAUUAUUCCUACCACACUUUUAAAUAAUUACAAUUUCUCUAAAAAAAAGUUGCUAUGUCAGUAUUUUUUACAGCACUUGUUUAUCUCUACUAUUAUAAAAAUUUAAGAUGUUUUUGUCGAGGCUUUUCGUACGUCACCGCGAGAUCGUGUCGGACACAAAAAAUCGCAAACUUGCCGAUAUAGUUUAAUUUUUUUCCAUCUAUCGGAAUAAAUCACGUCAGACCCUAAGCCCACUUGGUCGCGUUCUCCCCUUUCUUUCAACAGCCUGUAUAGGUGAGGCUUACAGCCGAUACGAGCAGCGGUUCCCGAUUUCCCGCGAGCCACGCGCUCUCACACAUCGAUUGUGAUUCUAGGACGAGCCUGACACAGAUCGUUUUUUCUUCCAACUCCACCUCCACCAACAAUAUCUCCUUUGUAUGUACGUACGUAUGCACCCGCUGCCACGAAUAGAUCUAUAUAGAUCGAGAAGCAGAGAGAAUUAAGGUCUUGAUGGGUGUGGUAAGAAGGCAACGGCAGCGAUGGCUGGUUGAUGGUGAUGGUGUUCAUGUCGGUGAAGGCGUGGUAGGAUGUACGCUGACGCUCUGCGGUUGCGAUCGCAUAUAUUAACAGGGCGGAGCUAGAACGAAAUGGAUGGUGGUGCCACUUACUUAAAUUAUUCUACUCUAGAUCGAAUUUAAGCUGAUGCGGGUGCCUAAGUUUGUAUUGAGAGGAUACAUACAUGGUGAAAAUAGAUGAUCUAUAGCUAAAAAAUUUUCUUGACCGGGUUCCUGGACACCCCCUAGUAUACUCUAGCUCCGCCCCUAUAUAUAUAUAUAUAUAUAUAUAUAUAUAUAUAUAUAUAUAUAUAUAUAUAUAUAUAUAUAUAUAUAUAUAUAUAUAUAUAUAUAUAUAUGAAGGCUAGCAUCUGGUGGGUAGAGACAAUGGCUGUGGGCUAGCGGCAUCGAUCAAAAUUAAGAUAGUCGAGCGCGUCAUCACAGCCAGUGCCGGCGCGACGCGACGCGACCGAUCGACACGCCUCAUACGUCAUCAUCGCCGUCCGUCCUCGAUCGAUGUCACCCAGGCCACAUCGUACGACGGCCACUAUACGGUGGCGGGGGCCGGCGAACACGACGGAGAUGCUUUCCAUGCAGUACGGCUUCGACGACCCGCUGGAGCGGUUUGAUGAUCGACCUCUCUCCUUCACGUCCGCGCGCGCUGCUUCAACUCCCGCUGUCCCGCAGGCCGCAUAUACUCCCUCUGUUUUAAAAUAUUUGACACCAUUAAAUUUUUAAGUAUGUGUUUAGCUAUUCGUCUUAUUCAAAAAAUUUAAGAAAUUAUUUAUUCUUUUCAUAUCAUUUGAUUCUCAUGUACAUAUAUAGUUUUACAUAUUUCAUAAUUUUUUUAAUAAGACGAACGGUCAAACAUGUGCUAGAAAGUCAACGGUGUCAAACAUUUUAAAACGGAGGGAGUAGGAUAUAUCUACGUCCGCGCGCUUGUUUCCUGCUCAACUUCCGCAUGUUAUGUUAGGACCAGGCCUCGAUCGCCAAGCUCCGGCUGCAGGUCCAGCAUGGGGCCGCGUGCGUUAGUGUACAACCAUAUAUCAAUUGUAUUUAUCGACCUUUACCAACCAUAUAUCAAUUUUUAUUGGGUGUAGCUAUAUUUAUGGUGCUAUAUUUUUUAUAAAAAAAUAGUCGGCAUGUAUUUACAUUGUAAGUCCCUAAAUUACAUAUGUAAUUUUAGUGUAUUUACAAUGUAAGUCUUAAAAUUACAUAUGUAAUGUAAAUUUGAAAAUUACAUACUAAUUACAUAUAUAAGUGAGGUGUAAAUGAGGUGUAACUACUGCGUAAGUGGCUGAAAAAAAGUCGACUGUAGCAUAUGGCGCCAUAUUUCUAGCAACUCCGUAUAAUAUAUAGCUCAUGCAUGGAACCCAAUAUAUCUUACUACUCAUCUGUGUUGACAGUACGUAUUUGCCAAAGUAUCUUUUGUCGGUCCUGUUUUAUCAUGUGUUUACUAGCUGUUUAAUUCUUUGACGGGCACAAAACUUUAAAAACGGACCAUUUAAUAUGCACAAUUAAAAUUGUUUUCACCCGUUGCAACGCACGAGCAUUUAUGCUAGUAAUAUAUAAAAAUUUAAUUCUUCCUUAUAAACUAAACGUCGGGAUUUUAUUUUAUUAUCUAACAAACUGAUCGAUCCAUUCAUCAAGUUUUAUCUGUAUUUCAUAUAAGAAGCAAUCCAUAAUUAUCAUAUUAGAUUCCCUUCUAUCAACUCAGCAUAUUGAAGAUCUAAUGUGACCAUGCCUACGACGGAUAUAACCAUUGAUCAUAUCAUAUACCCACAGGUGGUCUCGUUUCAUAACAAGUGCCAAAUUAAUCUAAUCAAGAAUACGACACUACCUCAUAAUGUAUGCGUUUAUAUGUUCAUGACCAAUCCACUUAUUUGGGGCUACAUAUGGAAGAUAAACACGAUGGCCAUGGUGCAUGCAGAGAUGGAGAUGAAUUGUUGUUUAAUUGGAAUUAUUAGAAAUGAUUUUAAAAGCCUAGAAGAGAAGAUCUAAUUUUAAAUAAUAAAUUCCAAUAUAAAAUGGGGCCAGAUAAAAUUUCAUUAAAUACUUUGCUUGAUUCUAUAGUUCCUAGAGUUUUCUGGGAUUUAUUUGAGCCAAGGAAGUAUUUUUAAUAAAUGGAAUUGCAUUUCAUGAAUAAUUUAAAUUGGAAAAUAUUUUAAAAGUCCUCUUUUGGCUUUGGGCCGAAAGUCGGCCCAAAACCUUCCCUCUCUCUCCUCUUUGGCCUAGUCAGCCCGCAGCCGCCCGCGCGCGCGCGCUCGGUCGCUGACAGGUGGGUCCCACCUGUCGGACUCGUCGUCCUCCUCGCACCGAAACCCUAGCCGCGCCGCGCCGCCGCCACCUUUCCAAUUCGGCCGCAUCUUUCCCGAUCCGGUGAAAUCGUUUGAGGGGAAAUGCUCCCCGGAAUCUUCUCUACCUUUUUUCCUUUUGGAAUCGAUCGCCAAUUCGGUUUGGAAAUCCGUGAAUUCGAGUUCGAUUCGGAUCGAUCUCUCUCCUCCGAACCCUAAACCUUCCAUCGCGUCGCCGGUCGCCGUGGGCCUUCGCCGCCGCCUCCUUGCCCCUAUAAAAGGACCCCCGGUGUCUCCGCUAUCCGUCGCCACCCUCGCCAUUGCCCGCCGCCGUCUGUAGCGCCCUAGCACCGUGCAGCUGUGCGCUGCCGUCGCCGCCGCAGCUCCAGCCGUGCGCGGCCGUCGCUCCGGUCGUCGUCGCUGCUCGGGGAGGUCACCGUCGUGGUCACCAAGCCGUCGCCGAUCUCGUCCACCCCUCCGUCGUCGCCGUAGGUUGCCGUCGUCGUCAAGCCGAAGGUCGCCGCCGCUUCUUCCUCGACGCCGUCGCCGUCCGUUGAUCUUCUGCCGCUGUUUUGGUCACCGGUGAGUUCGCCACGUCGCCCUCUACGUGUUGGUGUCCUCCAUUCGCGGCGUCGCGUCGUCGUUCGCCGGCGAGCUUGCGCGCCCGAGCCGCCGCCGGUGAUGACGUCAUCACCGAUGUCAUCGGUGCCGUCCGUCGUAGACCGGUCGUAGACCGUUAAAUCUUGGCCGUUCGUUGUGGAUAGGAUCGAUCUCGGCCGUUCGUUUCCGUGAGCCGCCGCCGUGCACCCGGUCCACCGCGAACCCUAACCGCUGACGCAAUAAUUUCCUUUUCCUUUUAAAAAAUAAUUCAUUAUUGCGUCAUCAUUCAAUUAAAACCCAUAUAAGUGUUUUAAUCCGAUUUAAUCUAUAAAAAUUCAUAACUAAUUCAUCUUAGCUCGGAUUUAGUUGGUUCAAGUCUCUAAUUUUUUCUAAAAUUGAGAUCUACAUGUUAAAAAUAUCCACAUGUACUGUUCAUGCUUGUUUAUGUGCUGUUUUGGUGAUUUUGCUCUUUUCUCUUUAGAUUCCGACGUUUCCGGAGAGUCUGAGUUUGCAGGAGAAGAUUUUGAAGAGUUCCAAGGCCAGCAAGGCAAGUCACACAGAUCCCAAACAACCCUUUGAGCAUGUUGAUCCCGUUUAAAGCUAUUGUUUCUAUUCAACUAUUGCAUUUAUUUUCGAAUGUCGUUGGGUGGAAUUAACCUAUUGUUUGUUAUAGCCUUUUUGUUCUUGAUUACUUUAUUCCUUGAUACCUUGGGUUAUUAUAACUUGACUAGUUGGGCUUUAUAUAUUGGUUCAGCUAGAUAUUAGAUAUGAUUGCUUAGCCAUGCUUAGAAACAUUAGCACACUAUUGGGAUAACUUAUGACUCACUAUUAUUUAAUGAUGGCUUAAUGAUAGCUCAUGAUGGUUAAUCAUGAUUGGUUAAUUAAUUAAUUUGCCAACUAAAACCUGAUAAUGGUGGGUUGUGAGCACAUGGUUUUGAUGGUCGUGCUCAUGACAAUUAAGGACCGGUUCAUGAGUUUCGGUUGUGAGAUAUUAACCGUGCCAACCACAAGCCAGCGUGGGCAACAGCUUUACCUUUUGUAUAGCAUGGUUCAUUGCGGGGCACCAGACUGAGAAGUGGCGGAGAUAAGCCCACGGGGGUCGCUGGGGAGUCCAUGCCUUGUUUAUAAGGGGGUGAUUAUGAUCCAGGAAUGGUGCGCUGUGGUGGAUUGUGUUGUGCGAGGGGUACUGUCACAGCUCCUUUCUGAGGUACCGUGGUGGUAUUGAGGCGCAUGGUGACAUGUUGUGGGGCUGUGUCUUGUGGGUACAGUGGUACACCUCUGACCAGAGUAAAACUAUUCGAAUAGCCGUGCCCGCGGUUAUGGGCGGGUCUAACAAUGUCUUUCGUGAUUAGUUUCACACUUCUCACCAUAAUAAAAGAUGCUAUAACUGGUAAUAAUUUGAUUAGCUCCUGGUUUGGAAUGGUAUAUUCCUGGUUUGGAGAUAGAACUGUGCAGCCGGGAUAGUUGUUCAGAAUGGUUGGGCCUAUGCAACAGGGUAUGUUGUAUAGCGUUGGAUUAAUAUUGUUUAAUUACUACUUAACUAUUUUAUUAAAUUCUGAAAUGUUUAUUAAAUGCUGUUUAUGCAAAUGAAACCCUACUAUGCCAUCCUUUGUUAUCCUGUGCACUUGCAUAUUUGCUGCAUGGCUUGCUGAGUAUGUCAUAUACUCACCUUGCAAUCAUUCAUCAGAGGAGGAGUUCUACAGUGAUGCUGAUGGUGUGGAGGAUUAGGUGUAGCCCUGGUCAAGCUGCCUGUGGAGUGGAGUCGUCUGCGCCGUUUAUCUUAUUUUUCCGCUGCUUAGAUCUUUAUUGAUUGAGAGGAACUAUCUACCUCUGUAAUGACAUUUUAUUCGCUUAUUAAUUAGAGUAAUAAUUGUACUCUAUUAUCAAUUUGUUAUUGUGUGCCUCGGCUGAUUCCUAAACGAGGGUUCACACACAUGUAAGCGUUUAGAAUUUUGGAUAGAAAUUCCGGGCGUGACAGCGUUCUGGAAUCCAAUUCGGCCUCCUAAGAUAGUGCUGAAUUCAAACGGUCGCCAAAUCUCCAUAUGGCCUACGUUUUGGGCCCACGAGUACUUUAUGGAAAGCUCUCGGAAUCCUCUUUCCAACGAAUCCAACCUCAUUGUCAAAUUCCAUCCGAGUCAUCGGCAAUUGAAAAAACAAGGGGCUGCAUUGUCUGUAAUGGGCCUAUAGGUCUGUAACUUCGUCUGGGACCCUGGUCCAAGGGGGGCUGUGCCCUAAACAGAGGGAGGACGCCCUUAUGACCUCCUCUAUCCUUUAAAUAGCUAGUAACCCCUUCAGGGUUAGUUGGGUUUUGAUUAAUUGUAAGUUUAGCUAUUGCUACUUCGCUUGUAGCACGCGUGUCGGCUAGACCGUCCGUCUGCUUGUUCGGAACCCCACUUUAUCGUAUAUCAAUUCAUCUUUGUGCGUCUUGUCUAUCUAGCAAUUCAGUUGCUUUCUAUCUUGUUCUUACUUGUUCUCGAUUGCUUGCAGGAAUAGGGUUGAUCUGCACCAGCAAGAUCAACAAACUCUCGGAGAUGUGUAUUGAUCGCUAAGGCACAACAUAACAACGUCUCGUACGGUUGUAGUCGGAUCGUCAAUAUUUCUCCUAAAUCGUAGUUAUCUCAACUCACCGAAAGAUCAAGCCACCCCAUACAUAUCAAGAUCUUAGGCCCCCUAUAAUUUUUCCGAUUCAUUUUUGGAAACAAAUGCAUUUGGAUGCCACCGAAGAGCCGUGUUUGUACUUGAAAAAAACUGAUCAAACAACUUUGAAUUAUUCUCGAUUCUGGACCGUUCAAAACUGAUUGGACGGCUUAGAUCGCUCAACUACACCAUACAUACAACCACUCGACCUGUUUGGCUAGGAAACAUUCAAGAGUGCCUUCUCCAGCCAACUCGACGAGCUCCCCGUCCACCUCUUUCGCGAAUCGCGAUGGCCACCCCUAACUAUACAUCACUCUUUCUGUUCUAAUAUAAGUGUAACCUAGACCCUUUUUAGAUCCCAUUUCAAAAUUUUUCACCCUGUCACAUCGAAUGUUUGAAUACAUGCAUGAAGUAUUAAAUAUAGGCUAAAAAAUAACUAAUUGCACAGAUUGCGACUAAUUUACGAGACGAAUCUUUUAAGCAUAAUUGCUCCUGAUUUAACAAUAUGGUGCUACAGUAAAUAUUUGCUAAUGAUGGAUUAAUUAGACUUAAUAAAUUUUUCUCACGGUUUACUAACGGAUUCUGUAAUUUUUUUUUAUUAGCGUCCUAACACCCCAUAUGUAAUACAAGUACCUGAGAAGACAGACUAACUACGAUUCGGCAAGGAAACCUAUGCCGAAUUGCAUCUGAAUACACACAUUUUAACAGAAGGCAAAAUGUGGAGCAAUGCAAGCCCACGGGUUAACGGGCCUGCCAAAAUACAACCAAGUUACCAGAAUGUGCAUCCACCAGCCAAGCAAAUCCAACGGCUGACAAAAUCGACUGAUGGAUUAAAAUUUGGGAUCACCUGUAUAUUUUAUCGACAAAUUUUCUUCUAAAAAUUUAAUAGAUAUAAUUAUAAUAUAAUCGUAGUGUAAUUAUAUUAUAACUUAAAUGUGAAUACCGUGUAACUUGUAUAUAAGUUUCACGUAAUUUUGAAUCGUUAGAUCUUUUACAAGAUUUGUUCUGGUAAGAAAGAAAAAAAAUUACAGUAGAGAUAUGUGAGAGGAUUUGUUCUCAUGACCUUUAUUUUACCGAAAUAACAUGUUACGGAGAUUACGAAGAGAUAUUUAAAAGUUACAUACAAGUUAUAUUAUAAUUACACUACGAUUAUACUUUAAUUUACAUAUGUCAAUUUUUUUGAGAAAAUUUAUCGCAAAAUAUAUAGCAAAAUUGUUAAAAUUUUGCAGGCGCUUGCAAAAUAGAAAACCUGAGAAAAAAAGAAAGAAGGAAACACUCGCGUGGCUGCCCACCCGCCGCCGUCGCCGACAACGGCGGCGCGAAGCCGCAUCCUCUCCGCCGACGAGCACGCUGGCCCGGAGUCGUCGCCGCUUCAACCGCCGGCCGUCCUGUCCUCGGAGAUACGGCAGCGCGUGGCGGCCCCCGGUGGCUGUGCUACGGCGGCCAAAAUCGACCGCCGGAUUUCCUGUGCUCCACCGCACGGCGGCCUGACGGUGGCUGCUUCUCCUCCGCGCACAAAUCCACUCCCGCCCCCCACCAUGCACGGCGGCAGCGCUUGACGGUGAGUUCUCCACAUGUUUUCCUUGCUGACCUCGAUUCGGAAUAUGGAUCCGUGUGAGCCAGUAUGAUUCAGAGUGGAUUCCCGGGAACAAGUCUGAUCCGGAGUCGGAUUUCUCUUUUGAGGACAACAAAUUCCGUUUCAGUUUUCCUUGGGUAACUUCAGGUAUAUACCUUGCGUCUCUUGCUUCAUCACAUGUUCCAACUCUGCAAGUAUUCAAGCAGGCGACGAAUUUCACCUUGCAAGAGGGGCUCGAUCUGCUCCAAUUAUCCAAUGGCGCCCUGUAGUACUAUAGCCAGGAUUAUGAACUUAGGGGAUCUAGCGAGAUGUCCCAAGAAUUUGUGCAACCUACUCUUCAGAGUAGUACAAUCCAAGCUCCUAGCGCCCCUUCACAGUAGUUUACUGAAGGAAGUGCAAAAAGAUGAUGGUGAUCAGCCAUCAAUGGCAGAGAGUGUUGUGGCAAAUUUACCAGAGCUGUCUCAGGACAUCUUAAUGGAGAUAUUUGCCCUCCUGGAGAUCCCUGACCUCGUGCGUGCAGGAUCGGUCUGUAACUCCUGGCUCUCGGCCUACAACGAAUUGCGCAGCCUAGGUAUCUAUAAACUGUCCCAGACGCCGUGCCUGCUAUACACCUCUGAAUCUGCUGGCGAUAGCGUCGUGUGUCUCUAUAGUCUUGUCGAGAAGAGGGAGUACAAGAUUACUCUCCCGGAGCCACCCAUACGCAGUAGGUUUCUGAUUGGGUCCUCACUUGGUUGGUUGAUUACAGCUGAUGACUUAUCCGAGAUGCACCUGGUCAAUCCGAUCACAGGGGAACAGAUAGCUCUCCCUUCUGUUACCACAAUGGAGCAUGUGAAUCCCAUCUUCAAUGAGUCUGGUGCUCUCCACAAGUAUGAGUUCUCACUGCACACUGCAACGAGGGUUAGUUAUGCAGAGCCAUCAAUUUUUGCCCUUGGCGAGCUGCGGGAUUACAUAUAUAGUAAGGCUUUUGUGUUUACUGAUACUUUCACAGGGGGAUGCAUUGUGGUUCUGAUCCACGAGCCAGCUGGUCAAAUUUCAUUUGCAAGGGUUGGGGAUGAUAAGUGGACAUGGCAUCCAUCACACUCUCACUAUUCUGACUGCAUCUACAUUGAUGGUCUACUGUAUGCACUGACUGCACAGGGAGAAAUCCAUACACUUGAUCUCAGUGGCCCCACGAUCACGAUGAAGAUGAUAAUUGGAAGUUUGUCUUACAGUAGGUACAUUGUGCAAGCUCCAUGGGGUGGUCUUCUGCUAGUUUGGAGGUCAGUUGAGGACAUUGAGGAGGAUUACGAGGCUGACUUGCCUGCUGACCAUGCAACAUUUGUGCGGUAUACUAGGGAAAUUAAAAUAUAUAGUGUUGAUACUAUGGGGAAAAAACAUGUAGAGAUCAAUAACCUGGAUGGUCAUGUGUUGUUUCUUGGUCAUAACCAAUCACUUUGUCUCAGCACGGAACAAUAUCCACAUCUCAAGGAAAAUUAUACCUAUUUUACUGAUGAUGACGAAGCUUGGUUAUUUGGAUUCAAGAAUAAGCGUCGUGAUAUUGGAUUAUUUGAUUUGAAACAUAACAGCAGAGAGGAACUCGUGUCUCCUCAGCUUUGGUCCAACUUUCCCGCUCCUGUUUGGAUUACACCUAGUUUCACAAAGUUGAACUUCGCCUAGAAGAAGCACUUUUAAGUUUUCUUGUUUAUGGAUAUAAUAGUUGUGUAUAUUUCUUCUUGUUCUGUACAAUUUAUAUGUAAAAUUAUGAUUGGAGAACUGAAAGGUGAAUGAGAAGGUUAGGUUGCUCCAUAUUUGUUUAUUUGUACCGACCUUUCUUAUGUUUAUUUAAAUUUCUACCGUCUUAAGGGCAAACAGCAGGUCUUGUGUGAUAGCCACUUUCUAGGGAAUUAGUGGAAUAUACAAGGCUAAUGUGACCAAUGUUAUUAGAAAAUGGCAAAGCUGUAAGUGCUUCUUAGAGUCUAAAAUAACUUAACUCUGAGACUCUGACUGCAAUCGGCAGGAUGCCUGGGCUAAUUUGGAGAAGCCUUGUGGAAGCAUGUUUUUUAGUAUCUUGAAGGACACCAUGUACUUCAUAUUUUACAACUACAGGGAUAGAAGAUUGAGAGGUAUGGACUGUGUUCUAGCUGCCAUCUAUUUUUAUUUUGAAUUAUGAGAGACCAAGCCUUCUGUUCCAACGUACUUAAUUCAUUCUAGAUAACAAUCGCAGGGUCUGUCUAGGAAGGAUUAUGAGAAGGAAUUGGAGCUUGCGGACAGUGAGAAAACAAAAAAGCUUGAACAGAAGUUGUUUCGUGGUCUUUAAGAUUCACUAGUCCUCAAGGAGGUAGGUUCUCAUAGUCUUUCCACGUCAAGAUCCAGUUUGUGUUCUUUUCACCAUUUGAUCUUGACUAAAUUACGUUUUAACUUUACAUGCUGCUAACGGGCAAAAAUCUGUAAUGGGGCUAGUUUUGAUUCCUAGCACUAAUACACUUCCGAUUUACUUGCAAUGAUGUUCAGGUGCAAACACUAACUCAUCUCAUGUACACAUAUGCAAUCGAUGUAUUAGUUUAGUGCUACGCAUCAUAUCUGCUUGUGCUAGUGUGUGCCCUUGCUAACUGUAGAUGGACCCAUUCCUUAACUGAGAAUUAGGGCCUGCAUAAGAUAUUAUCCAUUGGCUAAACCUUAUGCUCAAGCUUCAGUUUUCAUAGGUAAUUUUCUAAACUUCUAAACAAGUUUUAUGCACAUUACACUGUAUUGGCUAAAAUCGAACCAGCAACAGCUUAUAACUUCAGUUAUUGUGCACCCAUUGUUCCAUGUUUAUCAGUUUAAAUAACACAUCCCAGAUUAUUCUCCUGUUCUCUGAGCGAAAGUCCUUUUUUGCAGAAAGGAGUUAAGGAUGGACCAUCUUAGCUUGUUUCAUCAAGCAUGAUUUUGCUCUUGUUUCAUCGUGGCAGAGCGCAUGUGCUCUUAUCAAAUAUGGCAACUAGAAUUAUGUUAAGGUCUUAAGGAGGUGAGGAGAGUAAUGUAAGUCCAGGGGACGUUGAAGGAGAAAGGAUGCAGUUGGAUGGAGCUGAAUGGCAGUGUUCACCAUUUUGCAGCUGGAGCUGGAAAACAUUCAGGAAAUGAUAGCAUCCUUCUGAAGCUUGAUGAGAUAAUUGCAAAAAUAAAGGUGUUUGACUAUGCUCCUAAGGUUACCAAUGCUUCGGCUGAUUUGUUUUGUGUAAGGAAAAUAUCAGAGAAGCUGUCUGGCGUCUGCUGUUCAUUGGGAAGCUUGCCCCUUUCAUUUAGACUGGUCAGUUGAGAAAGUUUUGCUUCAACUGCAAAGACUAGAAGGGUGUUUGAGGGCUGAGAUUCUUCCGUGAAGUCUAUGGAAUUUGUACAAAAUACAGGUUAAUUGCCUUGCCAAUUGAAACCCACCAUGCUGAAAAAUGAUCAACACAGUCGAUUCAUGACGAGUGCUACUUGCGUGCAUUUGAUGCGAUGGUCGUCCAAAAGAAAAAAGAUCUUGUGUGCCAGGGCAGAACAGAACAAGCUGGGCGGGUGUGCCCUAUCAUCUCCAACUCCAAAAUUCUGAACAAGCAGAACAAGCAGGGCGUGGCGGGGGUACUCAAACUCAAAUAAAUUCUGAUGGUGUGUAAUAUACACAUUGUGUAUAUUCUAUAUUCUGUUCUGUGACUUCCAUUCAGCCAUGUUGCUACAAUCUUGGUUGUUGCCAAAUGAUGCUUAGUUGGUGCUUUAUUUCUCAUACAGAUGGAGGCGGUUCCUCAAACGUGAACUGCCACGUGACAUGGUCACUAACAGGUGGGCCCGUGAGCAGUGGGGCCCACAUGUUAGUCACCACGUCCCUCUGACUUCACGUCAGAGGAUCCCAUUCCCAUACAGAUAUUAAGGCUACUACUGGAAUGUGCAAACAUAUUUAUGCUGAGAUACUAAUCAGUAAUCACUUUAGUCACACGCGCAUGUCAUUCAACACAUUUAGAGUACGCAAUCAAAUCAAAUUAUGAUAUUAUGAUUAAGGGGUUACAGAUAUCGGUGUUAACAUAAGAAUAGUAAGCAAGGAACUAAUCCAAUAGUUAGCAAGGAACCAAUCCAAAAACAUGCCGAACUUUCAGUUGAUCACUCUACCCACCAACCCGCAGGCUGGACGUGGGAGAAGUGGACGUGUAGCUCUAACUCACGGGGAGAGCUUACUAUCACCCCGCAAUUCCUCUGAUUACAUGGGAUCCGAUCUGCUUUAGGGUGCUUCCUAUGCCAGUGGAGCAACAUCUGAAAUGCAAAUCAGCAAGCAUAAUUAGUUCUUCCGAAAACAAAUGCAGCAAUGUAAUGUUAAAGGAAAAUUUAAGCACCACCAUUCCUCUCUAGCAGACAGAUUUUUUGUGACAUAAUUUUGAAAGUAGCAGUAGUGGCAAACUAAUUGGCCACUCAAACUUGAUUUCUCGCAGUAGUCCGCGUGCAGAUCGACUAAGAAUGCAGAAACCAGCUCACCUCCAACCAUCUAAAAUGCAUGUAAUUUAGAUUAGAAUCUCAUGCAAUGAUAUAUUGUGCAAAUGAAAAGUGAGCAUGCUGUUUAAGAAAUGGGACUACCUAAAAAUUGCCACAAGUUUUUUGGGUGAGAAACUUUCAAAUGUGACUACAAUAAUAGUUGGAGUGUAAUUACAUUGUCCCCGCAAAAAAAAGGAGUGUAAUUACAUUGUAACUACUACCCAUAUACAAUUGUGUAAAAACAUAUUUGUGUUUAAUUGACUAGCAUCAUUAGCUUUUGACUACGUGAUCGGGAGUUCUAUUCCCCACUAGUGCAUCUCUGUGAAAAAAAAUUUUCCUCUCACACGAAUCUGGAUGCAAUCCAAGGAUCACAAAUUUAAAAAUUUUGAGUUUUUUUCCCUCUCAUACGAAUCUUGAUGCAAUCCAACGGUCAUAAAUUUAAGGGGCAAUUGCAUUCUUACCCCUACUUUCAGUUCUAAUAGUGAUUUUACCCCUAUUUUUUAGGGUUUGUGAUUUUAUCCCUACUUUUUUGAAAUGAACCAAUCGAUUGCCCCUGUUCUGUUAGCUUCGGUUAACGGUGUUAAAUAUGUGGUAAGAAGACAAGUAUACCCUUGCAUAUAUGCGCCUACUACUUUUACGACAGGAGCCAUGCUUGCAUAGACUCUGGACAUGUUUCAAAAUGGAAUUUUGCUUAUUUCAAAUCCGUCCUAAAUUUUUUACGAACUUUCAGAAAGUUUGACAAAUAUGACAUGAAUUCAGCAAUGACUUUUACAGAAUUCCGAUAGAAUUUCAGAAAAAAAAUUGACAGGAUUUCGACAAAAUUUCAACAAUAAUUUGUAGCAAACAUCACAAACAAUCACCAUUGCAAAGGAAAUCUGGAUAUCUUUACGAAUCACGAUAUAGAAUUGUGCUUCUGAAACUCUACAUUUGUUUAUCAUUGGAGCAAAGAAAUAACGCUAUCACAUCCUCGAAACUGACGGGAUUACAUUAGACAUUUGGACCCAAGCUCACAUGCACAAUUGAUAAAAUACUCACUAAAAAGACCCCGUGUACAGGAAGAGGGGGGGGGGGGGGAUUAAUCUGCUCUGAACUUAUUUAUACGAGGAAAUUUGCCACUGGUUUAACGAAGUAAUCAUGGCAGGGGACACCACAGUUACCAGCUGCUCGUUGAAGCGGCCACGCCGCCUUCGCUCGCUUCAGCCGCCACCGGCUGCUUUGCAUCACCGUGACGCUCCGAGCCUCCGACGCCUCCGCCUGCUGCAGUCGUCGGCUUGUCGCUGCCUCCCAGCUCACUGCGUCGUCGUCGCCUGCUCGCGUCGCACCUCUUCGGCUCGCAAUAAGCGUCGCCGCCUCCGAUCGCUACAGGCAGCCGCCGCCGCCGCCUGCUCGCCUCCCGUAGGUUUGGGGAUGGGGAAUAGUUGGGACGGGCCGGACGGCUAGCCAGACUCCAGAUGAUUACUUCUCAGGGGUAGGAAGGACAUUUCAUAUUUCAUAAAUAAUUUUUUCUGCUCUCUUUUCUAUAUUUUUACUCAAUAAUUAUGGGCCCACCUAACUGCCAUCCAAAGUAGAGGCAAACGGCUGAUUUGUUUCAAAAAAGCUGGGGUAAAAUCACAAACCCUAAAAAAUAGGGGUAAAAUCAUAAUUAGAAUUGAAAGUGAGGGUAAGAACGCAAUUGUCCCUAAAUUUAAAUGCUUUGAGCUUUCUACUGUAUGAUCAGGAGUUCGACUCCUUGGCAAUGGAAAAAAGAAUCAAGGGCCUAUUUGAUUCUCUACCCUACCAAUUAAUUGGUAGUGCCAAAAUCUAAGUAAAUUUUAGCACUACCUAUUUUUUUUGGUAGAGCAAAGUUAGCUAGCUAUGUUUGGUUUGGUACCAAUGUAAAGCCAAAUUUUAGUAGGAUGGUGAAGAAGAUUCUAGAAUAUAGCCAAAUUGAAUAUGUACACUACCAAUUAUUUGACAUCAAUCCAAACUAGCACAUUUCCUAUUUAAGUUACCAAAAUUUUGGUAUGGCAUGUUUUGCCUUUAAUCCAAAACGGCCCCAAGAGACAAUUCAAGGAUAAAAAAAAGUUUUUUUAGCAAUUCCGUUAAGGGAAAGAAGAAGAGGUGAGGGUGUUGUAUGUACCACUGCUCGCCGGCGAGGUUGAGGCGAACUGGUGUUAUGUUCACCGGAUGUUGGUGUACGCAUCGCAGAAGACGCAGAAGACGUGGAAGACGCAGUGGCAUCCUUCUUUCGUCGAACAGAUUGGAGCAUCCAGGCUUGGUUGCAUGUUCGACCCGUUCUGGCGCCCUUGCCUGCGACCUCGCCAUGGGCUGCUCGGGUGGUCUCCGGCGAGCGCUCGCGGCGCUGGUCCGGGCUCGCGCGCUGCCGCCUCCUUCUGCCCAUGGUUCCUCUCCGGUCGGCGAGCUGACGACGGCGGUGGGCGGCGCGAUUUCUUGGCUCGUCGCCCAGCGCACGCGUUCUUGCCUCGCCGACAAGGGAAACACGGGUGGUGGUGGUCGGCGGCGGAGCGUGGCGGAAUUCCCGGCGGCAGAGGCGGUGUCGUCCCCGGCGGAGCUCCCGGCGACGCAGGUCGGCAGGUGUCGCUCGCUGGGAUGGUGGCACGCGUGGACCUGUGUCCGCCGGUGGGCUUGUCGCUGUUGAGUUGUGAUCCAAAUUCAUUUGCACUUAAUAAAGGCCAGCUUCUGCCGUAGUGGAGUGAAGGCUGAAGCUGGCUCAUUGGGUUGUGUGCCUGGGGACGCCCGGGGGUGCGGGGGCGGAGCCCCCGCGGUACGGAUCAUCAUCCUUUUUAGGGUUCCACUAUAUAUACCUCUUGUAAGCCGCCGUGCAGCGAUGUAACCUCACCUUAGAUAUAGUGAAGAUAUUUUACCGGCUGACGCCCGUGGUUUUUUCUCUCCUGUUUUGGAAGGGUUUUCCACGUUAAAUCUCAUGUCUUUUAUGAUUGAUCUAUUGUUUUUUAUCGUUUGUUCACCCAUCGUUUCCUAACAGUCGCCCGGCGCGACAGUUCUUGGUGCGGCAGAAGCGGUGUCGUUCCCGGCGAAGCUCCUGGGCCCCGGCGGCGGAGGUGUCAGCCCGCGGGGAUGGUUGGCGCUGGCGCGCACGCGCGCACCCGCGAUCGCCGGCGGGUUCUUGGCCAGGGGAGCUCCCGGUGGCAGAGGCGGCGUCGUCUUCCCCGACGGUUCUUGGCUCAGCCGAGCUCCGGGCGUCGCACGUGUCGCCCGCGGGAAAGGUUGGCGCGCGUGGACCCGCGGUCGCCGGCGCAGGAACCAGCCGAGCCGCGAGAGGAACCCACGGGCGUUUCUUGCUUCUUGCCGCGUCGAGGCAGAAACAGCGGAGGCGCCGCGGCGGGUUCCUGUGUUGGCGGCGGAGUUCUUGGCGAGUUCUUGGUGGAGGAAGAAGAUGGAAGCGCGAGUUUUUGGUGGCAAGAAGAGAGCGGAAUUGCGGGAGUUACUGGCGAGAUGGUGGUGGAGGGAGAAGAUGAUUUUGACGGCGAGUUCUUGGCGGCGACGAGGGGGCGUGAUUUGGGGAAUUCUUGGCGAGAAGGUGGAGGAAGAAGAUGAUUAUGACGGCGAUUUCUUGGUUGUUUAAGAGGGAAUGGGGAGAGAGGGGAGAUGGAGAAGGAAAUGUUGUGGUAUUUAUCGGGGAAGAAUCGUCUCGAUCCUUCCACCGACCAUCCCGGAAGGCCAUCGUCUUCUCCGGCGCCGUCAUGUGUUCGAUGGCGAGCUCUGCAAACUCGAAGCUUCUCGAAGCGUUCUUGCGGCUGGAACGCAAUACUUCUUCUCCGGUGGCUCCGUUUUGGUGGCGAGCGUGGCUCGCACCGGCUUGGCGAGAGUAUCGCCGCCGGCGUGCACGAGCGCCAUGGCAGCUCACGGCGCCGGUGACAUCUUAGCAGAAGCAGAUGGGCUGUGGGCGCACGUAUGAGACGUGGGCCUAUCACUUGCAUUUCAACUUUCAAGGCCCAAAGAGUGCGGUGUUUAAUCCCACCUCGCUAACCAAACCACAGCAGCACCGCUUAUAAAUUGAACCGUGUUUUUUGUUUGCAAGUGAUAUCAGGCAUUUGAGUAUUGAAGUUUCAUUGGUCUAAAGACUUAUUUUUGUUCAGUCUGUGUUCUCUCUCUCCCAUUCUUUUUUUAUUUUUUUUCUACAAUGUUUUUUUUAAGAAUUACACUUACUAUUGUUUAGUGUGUGUUCUCUCUCUCACAUUCUUUUUUAUUUUUUCUACAGUUCUCUCUCUCCCAUUCUUUUUUAUUUUUUUUCUACAAUGUUUUUUUCAGAAUUACACUUAUUAUUGUUUAGUGUGUGUUCUCUUUCUCACAUUAUUUUUUAUUUUUUACAAUGUUUUUUAAUUACACAGUACAACGCAGACACUCAUAACGCACGCACGCAAACCCUACCCCUAUGAGCAUCUUCAAAGACUGGACCGGCAAAUCCAUCUUGGAGAUUGACGAAGUCAUCACAGGCGCUUCGCUGUCGACGGAUACGUCGCCUACCACUAAAAGUAUAAAGCUGAAUAUGCAAGAUACACUCCCAUAGAAAGUCGAACCCAUGACUUUUUUUUUCUACAAUGUUUUUUUUUAGAAUUACACUUAUUAUUGUUUAGUGUGUGUUCUCUCUCUCCCAUUCUUUUUAUUUUUUUCUACAAUGUUUUUUUAGAAUUACACAGUACAACGUAGACACUCAUAAUGCACGUAUGCAAACCCUACCCUUACGAGCAUCUUCAAAGACUGGGCCGGCAAAUCCAUCUUGGAGAUUGACGAAGUACCACAGGCGCUUCGCUGUCUACGGAUACGUCGCCUAUCACUGAAAAUAAAAAGCCAUUAAAUCCUGAAAAAUACGCUCCCAUGGAAAGUCGAACCCAAGACCUAAGAUGCUACUGAGACUCUUGUAACCAUUAGCCAGCUUGUUUAAUAUAGACCAGUAAAAUUGUACACAUCACUUUUCUGGUCUACAAUGUUACAUUGAUUUAUUUGUUAUUCAUGCAGGCCAAUUAAAAUUUAGAUGUCAACCUAUUAAGAAAACAAUAUAUUAUAAAGAAAUGUACGUAAUUAUCGAAUGAAUUUCAAUGAUAAUUAUUAAUGAGUAAAGUGCAUGUGCGGUUCUUAAACUUGUAGCGGUGUGUCAUAUAGGUCCCCAAACUCUCAAAAUGCAUAUCCAGGUCCCAGAACUUAUCAAAGUGUAUCAUCUAGGUCCCAAAUCAACACAUCCCCACUUAGAUUCUACGUGGCGCUGAUGUGACCUGCCACACGGACGUGACGUGUCCUUUUUUUCUUUUCCUUUUCUUUUCCAUUUUCUUCUCAAGGAGAAGAAAGGAAAAUACAAUAGAAGGAAAAAAGAAUAUUUUUAAAUGGGUCCCAUUUGUCAGUCAAAAUUACGCCAUGUUAUAUCUGUGUCACAUGCCACAUCAGCGCCACGUAGGAUCCUAAAGGGGCUGUGGUGAUUUGGGAUAUAGAUGGCAUACUAUGACAAGUUUUGGGAUCUGGAUAUGCAUUUUGAGAUAUUAAGGACCUAUAUGGCACACCUCUACAAGUUUAAGGACCGCCCGUGCACUUUACUCAUUAUUAAUUCUAGGUAUGAAUUAAUUAUAGACUACCGACUAAAAUUUAUACGCCAACUGAUUAAAAAAUAGUACUCCCUCCAUUCCAAAAUACUAUAAGGCACAACCACCAUUAUUAUCAUCUUGUAGUUUGGAUCAUCCUAAUAAAGAUAAUGCAUGCAUCCAAUAGGAUUAGAUAACAUGAGUGGAGAAUUUAAAAUAAUAAUAAUUUAAUAGAGAAGAUGUCAUAGUUAAUUACAUACUUGCAUGUAUGCCUUAUAUUAUGGAACAUUUAAGAAAAGUAGUUGUGACUUGUAUUAUGAAAUUAUGAAAUAGAGGGAGUACAUUUUUACUCGAUCAACUUCCCGCAGUAUUUUAUACUGCAAAACUCUCUUCGUCAACAUUAUUACAGUGUGAAUCAAUACAUCAAGCUACAUAUAUCUGGGCCUACGCCGUAGUACCGAACCUUGUGGUCCUAAUAGCAAGGCUAAUAGUGCAGCUAACAGCAAGUUCCAAAAUUUUAUCAUGUCAAAUAGAGCUAACUUAAAAACCAACUCAUAUAAUAAGCUAACUACAAGUUAGCUAUAAGCUACCUUGGUUAAAGCAUACAUACAUUAAAUCAUUAAAUACUUAUAUGGAUACAUCAGAGAGGUUCUGUGUAGGACCCACAUAAACGCAUUUUUAUCGUCUCUUCUGGCUGCACGCAGGCGUUACGGUUUGGGGAGCUGUGCAAGCGCCGGCGUCAAAACAAGCGCCCGCUUGUUUCUUUUUCUUUCUCUACAAUUUUCUUUCCUUAAUCUCAGAUUAAGUUGAUUAACAAGUUUUGGAGCGGGUUUAAUAGCGCUAUUGUACCUGCUCUAAGCCUUUCUCGUAUUCAUGUAUUUCUUUUCCACUCAAUUCUCUCAGGUCUAGAGUAUUUUGAAUUUUUUUUGAACUCAAUAGAGAGUUGCAUUUAUAUGUAUAUAUUUAUAUUUUUGAAAUUGAAUAUGCCUUUCAACUCAAUACAAAGUUAUAUUUAUAUUCAUGAUCUUUUUUUACUUUGUCAAAUGGUUUACUAAAAUCUUUCAAGUUUAGUGAUUUUUUCUAUUGUUUUAACACAAUAGAGAGUUAUAUUUAUUUUAUCUAUAUACCUCCACCCUCUUUACUUUCCCUCUAAACUACCCCUAAACUAUUGGUGCAGUCCAAAUUACUGUCAUGAACUACAAUUCUAAACAUUUGGCAUCCUUAAUUUUUCACACUAGACAAACAACCCUCGUCCAUUAUAGUUUUUGAGUGGUUUUGGCAUGAGUUAGUACAUGUAGAUUUUCAAGAUACUCCCUCCAUCCCAUUUUAAGCAUAACCGGAAGUUUCGGUGUCCAACUUUAAUCGUUCAUCUUAUUUGAAAUUUUUUUAUAAUUAAUAUUUUUAUUGUUAUGAGAUGAUAAAUUAUGAAUUGUACUUUAUAUGUGACUUAUGUUUUUUAAUUUUUUUUAAAAAUUUUUCAAAUAAGAAAGACAGUUAAAUUUGUACACAGAAAAUCAUGGCUGCAUUUAAAAUGGAACAGAGGGUGUAUAUGAUAAAAAAUGUUUGGAGGUGGGGGGGGGGGGGCAACGGCAGCAUCGGCCGAUGUCAUGGAAGAUAAGUUUUGCUCUAAAGCUGAUUUGGCGGAGGACGAUGGAAAAAUCCAGAACCCUCAAUACUCCGUAUAUAUAAACAUGAAAAAUUAAGGUAUAAAUAAAUAAGAACAUAAUUGCAUAUAUAUGCGUAAAAAAUGGAUGGAAAAUUAAGGUGGCAUAACAUAGUUGCAUUAAUAAAAACUGACUAGAUUAAUUAUAUACAAUCAAUCUGUUAAUAUCCCAUUGAUAGUCUAAUUUAACUAAAAAUUCACCGACAUUGAUCAUACUAAUCAACCACUCUAAUUUAUACUCCCUCCGUUUUUUAAUAGAUGACGCCAUUGACUUUUUCUCACAUGUUUGACCAUUCGUCUUAUUCAAAAAAUUUACGUAAUUAUAAUUUAUUUUGUUAUGAGUUGUUUUAUCACUCAUAGUACUUAAAGUGUGAUUUAUAUCUUAUAUAUUUACAUAAAAUUUUUGAAUAAGAUGAAUUGUCAAACAUGUGAGAAAAAGUCAAUGGCGUCAUCUAUUUAAAAAACAGAGGUAGUAGUUUACUACUACUAUUAGUAAACAUCUACCACUCUAAUUUAUACUACUACUAUUAGUAAACAUCUCCUAAGAUAGUAAGGCCAGCAAGGUCGUCAUGGCCACCGCAGCAGCCACCGUACCGAUCCCCAUUGUCGCACCACGCGCUCCAUGAGAGGUCGGUGGCGGCGGCGGUGGCGGCAGUGGCGACGGCGAAGUGAACGGCGGCGGGGACGACGGCUUGGGCGCCUGUGGCAGCGAAGGCGCCGCCGUUGGAGAUUGCGCCGGCGUGGCCGCCGGAGACUCUGCUAGCUUCCCCGCUGAUGGAGGCUGCUGCGGCGACGACGGCUCGUAGGGAGGAAGCACCAGACCUUGCGCUGCAAGAUCCAAGAAAUUAAAUUAAACGGCAGAGUCAGUCAGUGUCAGUGACACGAUCCGGCGACGCGCCGGCGCCGGCACGCCGGUCGCCGGCGGCGAGGUGAGGUGUAUGCUUACUGUUGCAGAGCUCGAUGGGCGGCGUGGCGAGGCCGCAGCUGACGGGGAUCUCGAGGGCGUGGGUGACGUUGACGUCGUAGCCGGUGGAGCGGCCGUAGACGCCGUCGGCGAUGUAGCAGAGGCAGAACGGGUCGGCGUCGAACGCCGCGCUGUACGCCGCGCAGCACGCCGGCGACGCGGCCGCCGCGCCGCCGAACAUGAAGUCCCUGCACGCGAGCAGCCCGCUCAGGGAGUCGCGGCAGUACUCGCCGCCGGCGGCGGCAUCGCUGGCCGCCGAGGCCGGCGACGGGAGCCACGCCGACGACACCGCCGCGGUGACCACGGCGAGGACGAGGAGGAGAGGAAGCUUGGAACGCGCCAUGGUGGGAUAUAUACUGGGAUCGAUCGAUUGAUUAAUUGGAUUGGAUUUUUGCAUGGUCCGCGACGUGUAUUUAUAGCGCCAGAGUUUGAGAAAUUUAAGAGAACGCGACAUUGGAUCGUGCAUGAGAGGUUUUCUCAUCUUUUUGGAGGAAUUUUAUCCGAACUCAAAUACUGAUCGAAGUCCACGCGGCACAAAAACGCAUAGCUUAAGCGCUUUGGGGAGAAUAGCUAAUAUGGUCCCUAAAGUUUCGCUCCUGAGUUAUUUUAGUCCUUAAUCUUUCAUAUUGUCCAAACAAGUCCUUUAAAUUUGUCAUGUGGGCUAAUAUAGUCCUUGGUCCCACCAAAAUCGCUACAUGGACAUGCCAUGUCACCUUUCUAUGUAAAAUCUUUAUGAUUUGUCCAAUUUACCCUUAUGCAUAGGAAAAUAAAAAACAAAAGGAAAAAGUUAAAAAAAUAUAUGGUAUAUGUAAGAGCAAAAAUAUACCUCAAAAGGGUGAAAAAAGAAGUAUUUUUUUCCUAUGGUUAUGUCUAAUUCACCCUUAUAUUUAUUUUUCUACGAUAUACGUAAGGCUAAAUUGGAUAAUUCAUCAUAGAUUUUGCAUGAAUGAUGACAUGGCAUAUCCAUAUGAUGAUUUUGGUGGACCCAAGGACUAUUCUAGGCCUUAUGACAAAGGUUAAGGAUUUCUUUGAACCAUUUAAAAGGUUAGAGACUAAACUGAUCCUACAGAGAAAAUUUAGUGACUAAAGUAGCUAUUCUCCCAAUGCUUUGAAUUGUUAUCCAGCUAAAGAGUCUUAAUGGGAGAAAGUUACAAGUUGACACGUUAGAAGAUAACCAGGUCGUAGAACGAUGUAAUAAUUUUGUCAUCCACUCCUGUAUCUGUACGAGUUUUAUUUAGUUUCUUUUUUUAAAAGAAAAAAUAUUGGUCCCAGAACUUGUACUUGAUUACACAAGUUUUUUCUGUUUCCAAAUUAUCCUAUUGACAAAAACAAGUUAAAAUACUGCAACAUUUGGGAGAAAAUUUCAUUGAAGAGAAUAAACACGUGGCCAACUAACUUCAUUACACAGUUUUGGUGUAACCAAAUUGUCCUAUUGACAAAACAAAUGAAAAUAGUGGAACAUUUGGGAGAAAUUUUUAGUGAAGAGAAAAAAAAAGACUGGAAUACGUGGCGAACAAACUUUAUUACACAAGUUUUUAUUAUGUAACCAAAUUGUCCUAUUGACAAAACAAAUGAAAACAUUGCUACAUUUGGGAGAAUUUCAGUGAAGCGAAAAAGAAAACCGGAACACGUGGCCAACUAAUUUGGUCCGUGUCUCUAAAAAUAUAUGAGGCUUUGGGCCCAGUAGGCCUAUAGGAGUACGCGCCAAAAAGAAUUUGCAAACCCCAAAUGCGCCGAGCCGCCGCCGCCGCGGCGGUGGCGCCCGCCGACCCGCAGCUGCUGGCGGCGGCGUUCGAGUCGGCCAUCGCGUCGCGCUCGCCGCGCCUCGGCCGGGCCGCGCACGCGCGAGCGCUGAGGCUGAUCGCCCCGGCACUCUCGCCCUUCAUCUGCGCGCACCUCGUCAACCUCUACUCCAAGCUCGACCUCCCCGCGGCGGCGGCGGCGGCUCUCGCCUCCGACCCACACCCCACCGUGGUUUCGUACACCGCUUUCAUAUCCGGCGCGGCGCAGCACGGCCGCCCUCUCCCGGCGCUCUCCGCGUUCGCCGGCAUGCUCCGCCUCGGCCUGCGCCCCAACGACUUCACCUUCCCGUCGGCCUUCAAGGCCGCCGCUUCCGCACCUCCGCGCUCCACCAUCGGGCCCCAGAUACACUCCCUCGCCAUCAGGUUUGGUUACCUCCCCGUCGACCCCUUCGUGUCCUGCGCGGCGCUGGACAUGUACUUCAAGACCGGACGCCUCAAGCUGGCCCGCCACCUGUUUGGUGAAAUGCCGAACAGGAACGUGGUUGCGUGGAACGCUGUCAUGACGAAUGCUGUGCUCGACGGGAGGCCCCUGGAGACAAUUGAGGCUUAUUUUGGGCUCCGGGAGGCUGGUGGGCUUCCGAAUGUGGUCUCGGCCUGUGCAUUCUUCAACGCGUGUGCUGGGGCGAUGUACUUGUCACUCGGGGAACAGUUCCAUGGCUUCGUUGUGAAGUGUGGGUUUGAGAUGGAUGUCUCUGUGUUGAAUUCAAUGGUUGAUUUCUAUGGGAAGUGCCGAUGUGCAGGGAAGGCAAGGGCGGUAUUUGAUGGCAUGGGAGUUAGGAAUAGCGUGUCCUGGUGUUCAAUGGUUGCUGCAUAUGCUCAGAACGGCGCAGAAGAGGAGGCUUUUGCAGCAUACCUGGGUGCAAGGCGUUCUGGGGAAGAGCCAACGGAUUUCAUGGUUUCCAGUGCGCUCACUACAUGUGCAGGGCUGCUAGGCCUUCACCUUGGACGCGCUCUGCAUGCGGUUGCUGUCCGUUCUUGUAUUGAUGCAAACAUUUUUGUUGCGAGUGCAUUGGUUGACAUGUAUGGGAAGUGCGGCUGUGUUGAAGAUGCCGAACAGAUUUUUUAUGAGACACCACAGAGGAAUCUUGUCACUUGGAAUGCAAUGAUCGGUGGUUAUGCUCACAUUGGUGAUGCUCAGAAUGCACUUCUGGUAUUUGAUGAUAUGAUAAGGAGUGGGGAGACAGCACCUAAUUACAUCACCCUUGUCAAUGUGAUCACUUCAUGCAGCAGAGGAGGUUUAACAAAGGACGGCUAUGAAUUGUUUGAGACAAUGAGGGAGAGGUUCGGGAUAGAGCCACGGACUGAGCAUUAUGCUUGUGUGGUUGACUUGCUUGGUCGUGCAGGAAUGGAAGAACAGGCUUACGAGGUCAUACAGGGGAUGCCUAUGAGACCUUCCAUUUCUGUAUGGGGAGCUCUACUUGGGGCGUGCAAAAUGCAUGGGAAGACAGAAUUGGGAAGGAUUGCAGCUGAGAAGUUGUUUGAACUUGACCCCCAGGACUCUGGCAAUCAUGUACUGCUCUCAAAUAUGUUUGCUUCAGCUGGCAGGUAAAAUUACCUUAUUCACUUUGAUGUUUACGUUAAAGUUCCAGGUUCCAGGCUAUCUCAGGUCCAAACACAGAUACACACACACAAACAAACAAAAAGCCACUCCCGGUGAUUUCUCAGUAAAUUUCAUACUCCUGAUGUCAUUUGAUUGAACUUAGCUCUAGGACAUAGCGAAGUAUAUUUUGAUGUCUCUUGGCUUCUUCUGAAUGUGGAAUGUCCCUGAGUUUUUAAUGAUUAUAAAUAAUCUCCAUCAUUGAUGGACAAGCGGUAAACUAAUAUAAAAGGCUAAGUUGAAGCACUAUAUUGCAGAAUUGUAAGGUACAUUUGUCAGCAUAUCUGCCAGAAUUCAAUGCAGAUUAGAUGAGCAUUUGUAUGCCAUAAUCCAUAUACUUCCAAUCAGCUGUGAAAAUAUAAUCUCGAAGGUGCUUGUUGAGAGCUUGAAGUAGACUAAUGCUGAUUCCUGAAACUUGUUGCUCAUAAUUUUUGUUAUGAGUGAAGUGCACCAGUGGUCCCUAAACUUGUGCAAGUGUGUCACUUAAGUCCCUGAACUCUCAAAUUGCAUUUUUAGGUCCCUCAACUUGUCUCGGGUGUCAUAUAGGUCCAAACGAGUUCUAACCCGCUUCGUGAGAUGACGUGGCAUGCCAUGCUAAUGCUUAUGUGUCCGUGGGAUCCACAUGUCACUCACAUUGAAAAAAUAAAAUUUAAAAAGAGGGGAGAUUGAGGAGAAAAGGAAGUUUUUAAUUUUGAAAAAUAAAUAAAAAAGAGAGGAGAAAAAAAUAUGUUCUUAAUUUUUUUCUAUAUGUGACUGACAUAUGGGUUCUACUGACACGUAGGCACCACCAUGGCAUGCCACGUUAGCACACGGAGCGGUUUAGAGCCCGUUUGGACUUAUAUGACACCCGAGACAAGUUGAGGGACCCAAAAAUGCAUUUUGAUAGUUCAGGGACCUAGGUGACACACCAAUACAAGUUUAUGGACCACCCGUGCACUUUACUCUUUUGUUAUUUACUUAAUGUAUCUUUCAAACUUGUCCAGGUGGGCAGAAGCAACAGAUAUAAGGAAGGAGAUGAAGAAUGUUGGAAUAAAGAAGGACCCGGGUUGCAGCUGGGUUACCUGGAAAAAUGUUGUUCAUGUUUUCCGAGCAAAGGACACCAAACAUGAAAUGUAUAAUGAGAUCCAGGCGUUACUAAGCAAGCUCAGAAAGCAAAUGCAAGCUGCUGGAUACAUGCCAGACACACAAUAUUCCCUUUAUGAUCUUGAGGAAGAAGAGAAAGAAUCAGAGGUGUUCCAACACAGUGAGAAGCUUGCUCUGGCCUUUGGACUUAUUUGCAUACCACCUGGUGUACCUAUAAGAAUCAUGAAGAACCUGAGAAUAUGUGUGGAUUGUCAUCGCGCAUUCAAGUUCAUAUCUGGUAUCGUUGGUAGAGAGAUAAUUGUGAGGGACAAUAAUAGGUUUCAUCACUUCAAACAAUACCAAUGCUCAUGUGGAGAUUAUUGGUGACUUCUAUCUAUGUGCCUAUUGAUGAAUAUUAUCUGCAAAAAGAAAAAAAAAACACUUCUUCAAAGCCAAAAGGAAAAGGUAUGCAAUUUUUGUUCCUGUGCAAUAGUUAUAUCAGCAUAUUUUUUCUUAUGUGAUUUCUUUAGUUGCUGUAUUAGUUGAAACUUGAAAGUUUGAAACUUUUGAUAAGCUUCCAAAUGAGUAUAAGUCUUGUUAGUAAUAUGAUAACUGUGUUAUCUGAUUUCUACAGUAGAAAUUAGAAGCUACCAAAUCACGCACCCACUCACAGCACACACAUGCAUCUUUUACUACAAACUCCAGAGAAACUCAGACAUCCAAGAAACCAAGGUCCAACUUGUCCGUUGAACACACAUGCAUGUGCAUAUUCUAAACAAAUGAGACACACUAUGUCAUCCUAGGGAUUGAAUUCAGGGUGGGUCAGAACAAGCUCCCUCAUAAUGGUAACAGUUACAGAAAUGGCUAAAUGGGAAAUGAGUGUGUUGGAAAUCAUUAUUUCUUUUGUUUAGACACAAAUAUAUUUUUUUCUGACAGUUGUUUGUAAGGAUAUCUUUCCUAAUGUUUUACACCUUUACUUUCCUUUUAUUUAUUUUGGCUUCUGUCUGUACAGGAUUUGGCAUUAAACAUGGAACAUAUGUCCUGGUUUACCUAAUUACCUUGCUCCAUUACUGAAGAAGGCAUACUGAUAAAUCAAAAGAAGAGACCAGCUGGAACAAAAUUUGGGGUUGAUGAGCAGAAGCAUACACUGCCUGUUUGAUGUGCCACCCAUGUUAGCUCAGGUUGCACAUAGCCUGGAUUUAGGGGCAUCAAGGGCAGAAUAUGUACUAUUCAAGAGAAGCUCAGGGAUAUCAAUAUAUGAUUGCUGGGUGCACCGUGCACGUAGGUUGUGAUGCUGGCUCAAGGAUCUAAAUUCCUGCUAUCCUUUUUUGGGGGUGUGAAUAAUAUUUCUUAUUGGUACUAUUUCUUGGUAGUAGGGACAAUUCCACUGUCUCAAAAUCGUGGUAAAUAUUAAGCAGUAAAACGAUUUUAACUUUUUCUAUAUCUUGAUUUUCAGGUCAUGCUAGAUUGAGCCUAUUACUGUUUCUACCCUGAAGCGCUAAUGUUUGCAGGCCUGAAGUGUCUCGUAUUCAGCUUGGAGGUGUUGGUGAAUUACUUAAAGCGACGAAUGCAGAAAUCUGCACGGAAGCGAUGCAUCCCAUUUUUGCCAUUUGGUUAAGUAGGUUUUGGUUAUUCUUAUACGUUGAGAGGAUACUUAUCAUGGGUUUGGUGGAUUAGACGUGGUAUAAUCCAGUUCUCAUUUUGGUUUUCCUUUUUGUUUGCUAGCUGACCUUAAUUACUUGGUGCCAUUUCCUGCUUUGAUUUUUAGGUGUUACUGUAAAUGAAGAGAUGAUUUAUUAUAUAUACUACAGAAUAUAGUUCACGCGUAUUACAAAGAAAACCGGUGUUUUGUUUCUGUUGGGCACUUUAGUUAGCAAAAGAGUAAAAUAGCCUUUCCAACUGGGGCUCUUCCCAUCCAUUUGUUUGUGAUCAUAAUUUUCCGAACCAUAUGUUUCAUUUUUUCUUCUAAGCUUAUCUUAGUUAAAACAUUCAACACACUUUCAGUUUCAGUUUUCAGUCUUUGAGCAAGGUUGCUUCAGAAUUAUCAGGCAUAUACAUGGAAAUGAAAUGAUUCCAUUCUCUGUUCAGUUUAUUUUCCUUGUAGGCUUAGAUUGAUCAUACAGCGAGUUAAAUGAAUAUAACUUCAAACAAGGCUCGAGUAAAAACUACGGAGGAAAAUGCAGUCAAUAGUGACUUGUGAUUGUGAUCUGCAUCGAGGAUUAAAAAGAUUUGUCUCGUACCACAUGAAGUCCUUCAGUAGAUUUGUAUACUUGUUCAAAAGAUUGUAAGAGCGAUGCAUCAACUUGUUUAGUUGCAGAGGUAUAUGAUCUGAGCUUGUUCAUUCGGAUUAUUCAGAUAGAAAGACGCUGUACUAACGGAAAUCUUAUACAGGUUGAAUUCGAAUCUUCAUACCCCACUGGACCGGGGCCCACACGUCAGUGACCCAUCUCAAGACUCAAAUUAAAUUGGUCACGUCUCGUUCGUCCUCAUCUCGCUCGCGUCUCGUCGGCAUGACGACUCCGCCGGCGGCGAAGCGCCGCCGCCGCUGCUGUUCGCUGCCGCCGGAGCUGAACGACGACGUCAUCGGCGAGAUCCUCCUCCGCCUCCCACCUGGCGACCCCGCGCUGCUCGUCCGCUGCUCCCUCGUCUGCAAGCCAUGGCGGCGGCUCCUCUCCUCCGACCCCGUCUUCCUCCGCCGCCACCGCGAGCUCCACCUCCGCCGCCGGACGCCUCGCCCCCUCCUCGGCUUCCUCUUCAACCAGCUCGGGGAAGACCCCGGCGUCGCCUGGUUCGCCCCCACCUCGUCCCUCCGCCGCCUCCCCCACCCCCACCACUGCGACUGGUACGCGCUCGACGCCCGCCACGGCCUCGUCCUCUUCAGCACCAUGCUCUCGCGCGACGCGGCGGAGCACGAGCUCGUCGUCUGGGACCCCAUGACGGGGCGCCGGUGGCGGCUCGACUUCCCGGGCUACCUCGAGGACUUCAACUGGUCCGCGUCGGUGCUCUGCGCCGCCGACGGCUGCGACCACCGCCACUGCCACGGCGCCCCCUUCCUCGUCGCGGUCGUGUCCACCGGCCGCUACUGCAACACCUCCGCGGCCAUCUACUCCUCGGAGACCGGCGCCUGGGGCGACGCGAUCGCGCUCGAGCGCGAGCACCCCGAUCCCGAUGAUGCCGUCAAGGUCGGGAAGCCCGGCGUCCAAGUGGGGAACGCGAUCUACUUCCCCUGCGUCCGGAGCGCCCAAAUCCUCGAGUGCGACAUGAGCGGCCACACGCUGGCGAUGUUCGACUCGCCGGCGGCCGGCCGGGGAUGGCCGGACAACGGCCUCCUCAUGACGGCGGAGAGCGGCGGCGGCGGCGGGCUGGGGUUCGCUUUCGUGCGGCGGUCCAUGCUCCACCUCUGGUCGAGGGAGCCCACCGGCGACGGCGCCAUGGCAUGGUCGCCGCUCCGAGGCAUCAACCUGGAGCCGCUGCUCACCGUGCUGAUCCGGAGACCACCUGAGCACCACUCCGUCACGCCUAAUCUGGUCGGCUUCGCCGACGGCGUCGGCGUCAUCUUCGCCGAGAUCGAUGGCGACGUCUUCACCAUUGAGGUGAGCUCUCGACGAGGCAAGAAGGUGUACAGGAGGGAAGACAUCCACACCAUCUUCCCUUACACGAGCUUCUACACUCCUCGCGGUGGUAUCAACUUUGAUCCAUUGCCAUGAACUCACUCGCGCUGCUGCUGCUGCUGUUAGCUUUGUUGUGGAUUUGACGUUAGUGAUUUCUUUCAGUUUGGAAGCCCAGGAACAGUAUUGUUUGCUCUGGUUUCAGUGGUUAGUUUAAGCCAUAAAAAGAGUUAAGUAGCGAUGGCCUAUUUUGUAACCUCUGUGUCUAGUUGGGCAGUUUUAACCAGGAAAAGAGUUGACUGCUCAUGAUCACUUCACUAUGUGAUUGUAUCAACUCAUCUACCUAUUUCUUUUUCGUUUUUCAUUUCCUCGCUGCCUAAAGCAUACUCUCGAAGAUACAAUACCUCUAUUUUUUUUAUAAUGCUACGCCGUUAAAUUUUUCUUUACAAUAGUUUGAUCAUUCGUCUUAUUUAAAUUUGUUUUGUAAAUAUAAAAAAUUGAAGUCAUACUUAAAAAAUAUUUGACGAUAAAUCAAGUCACAAUAAAAUAAAUAAUAAUUAUAUAAUUUAUUAAUAAUACAAAUGAUCAAACAUAUAUUAAAUUGAUCAAUCAAUUCUAAGGUUGUGUUCGGCAGCCAACUUUCCCAACUCAUCUGUAUCAUUUUUCGCGUGCAUGCUUUUAAAUUGCUAAACGGUAUAUUUUUCUUUUUGCAAAAAACUUCUAUAGGAAAGUUGCUUAAAAUUAUAUUAAUCUAUUUUUUUAAAAAAUAGCUAAUACUUAAUUAAUCAUGUACUAAUGAGUCACUUUGUUUUAAGUGAGCGAGAGAUUAGGUACCAACCUCACAAUUAGCCUAAGUGGGAAUACUAAGAGUGGGUGGACUAGGCAAAAUCCCCCCCCCCCUUUUUCCCUAACCCUCCUAGAGUCGUUGGAUCAAACAUUGUCUGUCAGAUUCAACCAAAUACAAGGCUGGGUUCCCAACCCAAGCUGUUCGCACGGAAAAUGAAGUGAUCCAUUAGCGCAUGAUUAAUUAAGUAUUUGCUAUUUUUUUUCAAAAAUGAAUCAAUAUGAUUUUUUAAGCAACUUUUGUAUAUAAACUUUUUACAAAAAAAACACACCGUUUAGCAAUUUGAAAAGCGUGCGCGCGAAAAACGAGAUAUGUGCUAAAUUGGUUUCCUGAUUCCACACUUCCCCAUCAAUGGUGGAAGCAUCCACAUCUACACUCUCAGUCUUAGAUCAAACUAUAGAAAUAAAUCUGAAUAAGCACAUGUCGGAUUCAUAGCUAAAGUUUGAUUUAUUCUUUUUAUGAAGAGAGUAUAUGUUUGUGCGCAGCAAGGCACCUCUGGGUUAACUCUUAACUGUACAGCCGGCCGGCACCCUGUUACGCUGGCCAACUUACUCCUAUUCUCUUCCUCCACUAGCCAGCUGCUGCGAAAUCAUGCCCAAGGGAAGCAACUCCACCCGAAUGUGCCUCCCCAGUCCCCAGUCCCCACACGCGCACAGAUCUUGGAGUAAAAUCAAUGCCCAUCAAAAUAGACUGAUUGAAAUCACAAAAAGUCAGUUGACUGAAAGUAAACAAACCUGUUUUCUUUAACAUUGUGUCACUACCACUGUGGUUAGCUGCUACCAAGGUACAUUGAAAUAAGUUUCACCUUGGACUAGGUGUUAUAUUAUAUGAUUGAAGGAAAAUCUUGUAAAAUAUGAGGAAAAGUUAUAAAACUUUUUGAAUUUAGAUCACAUAUUCACAUUUGAUGAUGAUUUAUUCAAAAUUCUACGAAAUGCCAUGGAAAUUCUAUAUUAUUGAUGAUGUAUCCUAGAUUCCUAGUGCUCCGUAUUAAGUGAAAGUUUUUUUUGACGGUUUAAACAGUAGGAGAGGCUCAUACUGUGCUAUAUUAGAAUAUAGAAUAAAAAAAGAGUAUGUACAAAGGAUGGAUAUAAGGGGGGAGAGGAAAGAAAAAAGGAAAACAAGGAAAAAACAAAGACAAUUAGCUAAUGAUGUUAAUCCAUGAUUGCCAGCUGGGUUUGUCUGAUGCUUUUACUCUGUGCAUAUGCCGAGUAAAGAAGGAUGGAUAUAAGGGGGGAGAGGAAAGAAAAAAGGAAAACAAGGAAAAAACAAAGACAAUUAGCUAAUGAUGUUAAUCCAUGAUUGCCAGCUGGGUUUGUCUGAUGCUUUUACUCUGUGCAUAUGCCGAGUAAAAUCUUCUUUGAAGUCCAAUUUCCAUUUACUGAAGUUGAUGGGCACAUUAUUGAAAAUAUGAUCAUUUCUUCUAUUCCAGAUAUUCCAACAUCCAAUUCCUAAUACUUCCAUAAAGAAAGGUUGUGGGAAAAGCCUUCUUGCAGUCAUGAUCAUGUUCAUGAAUUCUAAUGUCAGAUCCCAAUUUAUCCCAAUACAGUUCCAACAUUGUUGGGCAAAAGGACAAGAGAAGAACAGAUGAAUGUAGUCUUCUGUGGUUGUCAAAUUGCAAAUGUUACAAGUGACUCCUCCUUGAGUGUUGAAAUGUUUUCUUUGAAGUAAAUCUUUAGUGUUUAAUAUGUCCAUCAGUAGAAGCCAUAGAAAUACCUUGAUCUUCAUUGUGCCUUUGCUUUUCCAUAUGAGAGUGAGUGGUAUGUCUGGUUGAAUAUGAGAAAAGAAGAGAUCAUACAUCUUUUGGAUUUGUACAAGUUUGGGUUCCACACAUAGUUCCAUUGAUUUGAAUGAUGGCCUCAUACUCCACUAAAUCAAAAGCUUUCUCAAAAUAUAUUUUCAGAAUUACAAUUUCCCUGUUACUUUGAUGGCACUGAUGGAUGUAUUCAAAGCUCCAUGCUAGGCAAUCCUGGAUGGUUCUACCUUUAAUAAACACAUAUUGAUUCUCAUGAAUAAUAUCAAGGAUAACUGAUUGCAGUCUGUUGGCCAUAAUCUUGGAGACAAAUUUCAGAACAGAGUUUUGCAAAGCAAUAGGCCUGUAAUCAUUUGGACUUUCAGGAUUGGGUUUCUUUGGAACUAGGGUUAUGAAAGAGUUGUUCAGGUUCUGAAUUGAGAUUCCUCCACUGAAAAAUUGAUCUGCCAUAGCAUAGAAAUCCUCAGAGAUGAUAUGCCAGCAUUUCUUGAGAAACAUACCAUUGAAACCAUCAGGUCCUAGAGCUCUAUCACUUGGCAUUUGCUUUAUUAUUUGGUCCAUUUCAUCCUUGGAAGGCAUGGAGGAUAAAAGAUUUAGGUUAGAGUUAUGCUGUAUCAAACUGCUCAGAUUUAGAUCAGACUGUAAGUGCUCGGGAGUGCCCAUUCUGUCUGUAAAGAGUUGAAUAAAAUUUGGGCCUUUUCUUCAUGAGAUGAUAUUAUUCUGUCAUCCAACUUUCAUGUGAGAUCUUAUUUCUGUUGUGACUGUCUGUUGCUGCAGCUUGGAAGUAUUUUGGGUUUUCAUCUCCAAAUUUAACCCAUCUUAUUGUACAUCUUUUCUUCCAAAACUCAUUCUUGUAUUUUAAGAGCUGAAGGAUAUGGUCCUUUAAUAUGGUUCUGAAAUUCCAUUCUUGAAUGGCUAGAUCUCUUUGCUCUUCAAUUUUGUCCAGAAAAAGCAAAACCUCAUUGCAGUUUGAGACGAGGGUAUGCAUAUUUGAGAGUCUUUUCCUCAAAUUUUGAGUCCUUUCCUUAAAUUUUUCAUCUUUCCAUUCAACUUGAUAGCUUGAUUUGAUCCUCUGACAGGAAUGUUCCAGAACUGUGAAACGACAUCCAUAAAUCCUGGCAUGUCAACCCAUAAGUUUUCAAACCUAAAUAAUCUUGAUUUAGGAACUGAAGUUUCAAUAGAAAUCAGACAGGGAGCAUGAUCAGAGAUGUAUUUAGAUAGAGCUGUUAAUGAUGUGUGGAGAAAUUUCAGAUUCCAGGCUGGAGAUGUAAAGACCCAAUCAAGUUGCUGGAGCAGAGGUUGGUCUUGCAUGUUGCUCCAUGUGAAAGACAUGCCUCUCAGAGAGAUUUCUACCAAUCCAAUGUUGCUUAUGAUUUCAUUGAAAAUCACAAUAUCAUUCAUAUCUCCACCAGAGAGAUUUCUAUUUUGCACUGAUCUAAUGAAAUUGAAAUCACCCAUGAAAAUCCAAUUUUGAUCAAUGUCUAUCUCAAUGGUGUUCAUCCAUGAAACAAAUUCAUCUCUUAAUUCUCCAGCACAAGGGCCAUUGGCCAUAGAUGUUAGAUAGGGACCAAUUUUCAUGUAAAGAGGAGUUUGACACAAACUGCAUAGUGAUGACAUAUGGAUGGCUUUCAAUCAUGGUACCAGUUGCAACACUACUGUUCCAAAUGACAAUUAAACCCCCUGAGUUUCCAAAAGAAGGUUGAAAAACAAACUUAUCAAACCUUCUAGGACAAAAUUUUCUAAUAUAGGAGUGGUCAAAAUGCUCUCUUUUGGUUUCUUGCAGACAGAUAAUUGAGCAUGAAGAUUCAAAAAUUUUGUCAGAUAAAGCCAGCCACUUUCGCUCAGAAUUAAUACCUCCGAUGUUCCAACAUAAGAUAUUGCAGCUUCUAUUAUUCUGUUGAUUCAUUAUUCUGGUUUGUGAGAAAGAUAAAAUAGGUCACAGAAUAACUGUGUACCCCGAGAUGAGAGCCACCAGCAGAGACCCGCAACAUUAGAUGAAAAACCAAAGCAUGACAAAAUAUGCAGCAUAACCAAAGUACUUAUCCAGCAGAUUAACAAGUUCCAGGCAUAAUCCAAGAGAAAAGUGUCACAAAAGUGAAAUUCUACCCUAUUACAUAAGUGGGUAGAGGGGCUAAGCAUAGCCCAAUUAUUACAAAGCUUAGAGACUUUAUUCAUUUCUUUGAUCUGAGAAGCUUCACUUCGGACACUUCCUCAGGAAGAAGUCCACAUUUUUCCACCCCAUCUCGGGAGAGCAUUCACAUGAUUACAAAGAGGAGGCAGGAGCCGCAGGAUAGCCUUGUUUAGUUCCCAAUUUUUUUUUCCCAAAAACGUCGCAUCGAAUCUUUGGACAUAUACAUGGAGCAUUAAAUAUAGAUAAAAUGAAAAAUUAAUUGUAUAGUUUGCAUGGAAAUCGCGAGACGAAUCUUUUGAGCCAAAUUAGUUCACGAUUAGCCAUAAGUGCUACAGUAACCCCACAUGUGCUAAUGACGGAUUAAUUAGGCUUAAUAAAUUCGUCUUGUGGUUUCCAUGCGAGUUAUGAAAUCAGUUUUUUCACUCGUGUCCGAAAACCCUUUCCGAUAUCCGGUCAAACGUCCGAUGUGACACCCAAAAAAUUUGUUUUCGUGAACUAAACAAGGCCUAAGAUAAAAACACAAGGACAACUAUGUUUGCAACACAUGCCCAAAUUAUUUGAGUGGAACAUCAAUCAGAUAAUUUAGAAAGCCAGCAACGUUUUGCCUACAGAACAGAACCAUCCUAGGACGCUAGAUGCUAAUUAAAUUGACCCUGAAAAUGACGACCAACAUUUAAAGCAGUUAAUCACAUGUCUGCAACAUAACGUUAGAAAUGUAAUUAACUCGGCGGCUAAUCUGACCAAUUCAGGGUUAAUUUCGAUGAUAAAGGAAUACAACCAGACGCACCAGUAAGCAGGCAUGUCCCCACGAACAGAAUGCAUGACAUUCCAAGAGGAGUACCUGAUCGCCUCCCUCGAGCUGAGCCUCCUCUUCUUUUCUUGGCUUGUGUCUGUCUGAAUAGAUCCAUGAGGUGCAACAUUUGUUGGGCGGCGGGGCUCCUCGUGUCGUGGAGUCGGCGGCGAUGCGCAGUGCACCUAAAGAGGUGCGCCGCCCAUACACAGUCGCAGCCCACUCCUUCAAAGCUGUCCCAGACGCAGCGCAGGCACCCUCCGAAUCCGCGUCCUCGUCGCCCUGGUGAUCUCUCUAGCGUCGACGAGGAUGCCGGCGGUGGCGGACCCGGCUCUUCUCGGUGGCGUCCAAGAUGGCCUUGUUCUUGUCAUCUUGGCAGCACGGGGCAUGGGUCAGACGGUGCAGACGCGGGGCGCGAACGGUGGACGGCGGAGAGCAGGACGUGCCGCGCGUGGCGAAGAAGGGACGGCGGCGAGCGCGCGGAUGAGGCACGCCUCCUGUCGAACAGGUUGCGGGCGCGCGGCGGCGAGGAUGGCUCGCCGCGGGCGGAGCGUCACGGCGGAGGCGUUGCAGGACGGAGUCACCGCCGGGGCGACAAGCGACGGCGGCGGAGGUCGUUUCUUGGGCGCGGUGGUGGGGAAGUGCGCGGCGGCGAGAGGAGGCGGCGUCACGGUGGGAAGCGGCGAUCGGCGCGGUGGAGGGCGAUUUCUUGGAGCUCAAGACCCAGAACACGAGGUUGUUAUUAUAACCGCCUUCUGCACGGCCGCCUCGCCGCCGGAAAUCCGUCCUCAUUCGGACGCCAGCUUCGGCGUCUGGGUUCAUCCGCAUUGUUUCACAGCCGCUCGGUCGGUCGCACCUGGUGCGCGUGCGGCUCAACCGAAGCAAGCCACAGCAAUGGCGCCGCCGCGGCUGCGCUCCAAGCUUCGAGCAGGGGCAUGAGCAGCCAAGCCAAUCUGAGGGCUUUUAAUAAUUAUUUCCUUUUUCUACGUAGGUUCGAAUCUCCGUUGGUGCAUAUUUUUCUUUUUUUUACGCUCUAAUUUUCUUUUCUUUUUUUACUCUCUAAUAAUUUUCUCCAUUGUUUCUAUAUAAUAAAAACUUCCAAUUUUUUUUAUCAUUCCUUUCUUUUACGCUCUAAUCACCAAAAUAUGAAUUAGAGAUAAUAAUUCAUAAUAGGUUGCUCUUUUGUUAUAACCAGUCUAACUGCAUAGUUGGGCUGGCUUACUCGAGAAGCUUACAACUCGUUGGUCCUGUGUUCUAAUCUCGGUUUGUACGUUUUUUUUUGUUUUUUCUUUUCUUUCUUACCAUACCAUAGUAUUUCACAACUCACUUAUGUUCUCAAUAUGUAUGAAACCAUAUGGAGUUUUUUUUUUGUUUUUCUUUUCUUUCUUACCAUAGUAUUUCACAACUCACUUAUGUUCUCAAUUUAGACGUAUACUCAUAAACAUGUCCAUGUUUGCUCUCCUAUAGAAACAUAUAGUAGGAAAGCUACGUCGUUCACAAUAGGAACUUGAUCCGAUGAAACGCACACACGUACAUGAAUCGGACGGCAUAGCACAGAUGACGUACAAAAACCGGACGAAUUACCCCUGACUCAAUUUAGAGUGGUUUUCAUCCUACGUGUACACGUGGUAGUUCGGAACGGUUUUGUUCUACAUGGUAUACAUUUGGCGCUAACGUGGCAAUCCAAUCUCCAAAAAAAACAUAAAAAAAUUAACAGGGCCCCACAUGUCAUAUAGAGUAGUACUAAACUCUCUCUCUCCUUCCCUCCGACAUCGCGCGCGCGGCAUGGCGCAGAGCCAAACGCGAUGGAGACAACAGGGAUGGCAGGUGCAGCCGAGGAGCCAUGCUCGCCGGCGAAGACAAAGGAGCUGUGCGCCAGUGGAUGCGGAGGAGGAGCCACGUGCGCCGGCGGAAUCGAGGACUUGUCGCCAUGUCGCCAUAGCCCCCAGCCUUGGCAGCAUCCACCGCCUCCACUGUCCUCCUCAGCGCGGCCCACCGGCCACCGCGCCCUCCCCACGUUUCCGCCUCCCGCCACCUCCACUGUCCUCCUUGGCGCCUCGCCACCCACCGCGCCCUCCCAGCGACGCUUCUGCCUACCGCCCGUGCCAUCCUGACAACACCGCCAUCCUCCACUGUCCUCACCACCCACGACGCCACAGAGAUGAGAGAGAGGAAUGAAAAAAGGAAGAGAGAGGGGUGAGGGGGAGAGAAGCUGAUAGGUGGGUUUCAACGAUUAUUUUUUUAAAAAAAAAUGUUGAUUUUUGAGUAGGACGGUAAUUCAUCCGGUUUUACAAGUUUAGGGUGUGAAAUAUCUGGUAUUUGAGUUUUGCGGGGUAAUUCGAUCGACCGCGAUAGUUUAAGGGGUAAUUUGUACUUUUUUCUUAAUUUAAUUAUAUUCAAAACUACUAAUUUCCAAAAUUUAUUAUAUUACAUUUAUUUUACUCAUCACCAUUUUCAAGUAAAAAGCGAAGGAUGUGUUCAUUUGAACCCUCAAUUCUCCAAGUUUAAAAUUCAUGCUCAAAGUCGUAUUUACAUGGUUUCCGUCAACAUGGUACUAAUGUGUCGACACUGAUGGAUAGUCAAUAUUUAUUUUACUCAUCACCAUUUCCAAGUAAAAAGUAAAGAAAAAAGUUCAAUUGACACCUGACGAGGUGGUGUGGCCGUGAGAGGAUCACGGACGGUGUUGCCGAGGCAGGGAAGGCUAGCGGGGCAUCAACGGCGGAGCACCCCUGUCGAACAGGUAGCAUGCGCUCGGGAAAGCGUGCGGCGGCGAGGAUGGUUCCCCUGAUCGAGACGAGGAGCACCGAUGAGCAUGUGGUCGGCAAGCGCAUAUACUUGCCGAGGACCACGAGAAACAAUCCGCGCCACCAGGAAUAUUGUCGGCGGCGAGAUCGACGGAGACCUUCACGUUGAGGACGGUGAUGGCCUGGCCGUGGAGAGUGGCGAUGGCGUCGUCCUCGAGGGUGGGAGGAGGCGGCUCCUACGGCGCAAUAUCGAGAGGAGGCGCUCCCGGCGCGCCAUGAACCUCGAGACGGGCGCGCAACGCCGUGAUCUCAGGUGGGAGUUACGCAGGAGGCGGGACGAUGGGCGCCAGAACAAGCACGGAAGCAACGGUCGCAGGGGGCAAGGACAUCGUGGGCGACACCAUGUUAGAGGACAGGGUGUCGUCAUUGGUGGCGGCUUCAAGCGCGGAGAAUAGGCCCUGAAAGAUGGGCGCGAGUGCCUUGCAAGCUGCAGCUGAGGCGCGCUAAGGACGCUGAUGGCCGGUCGGGCGCGCCACCACAGCUGCCUCGCCAUGGGGUGCGCGUAUGUUGCAUGGUCGUAUCGUCCAUGGUACGUGCCCUUGAGUUGAGGCACACGCCUUCGUCUUAACUGAGUUCAUAGAGGUGGUUGUCUUCGUUUGUGCCGGUUGGGAAACCAUUCCUCUGGCACAUGAGAAGUAACUCAUUAACACAUAAUUAAUCAAGUAUUAGUUAAAACUAACAUAAAAAAUAGAUUAAUAUAAUAUAUUAACAAGUUUUCUACAACAUUUUUUUUCAAAAAGUAUAUCGUCAUAUAGAGUAGUACUAUUUGAAAAAAGUAAUAUGAAGUUAUCUAUUUAUUCAUCACUAUAUUGCAAGAAGAAAAUUAACAUUAUUUUUAAUUAUUCUUUAUUAAUAUUUCUUUACUUCUAGGUCUCUUAUCUACUUUGUUUAUGGGGAUUAUAUAUGCUGUAGUAUAUGAUAUCAUCGACAUGAUGUGGUCUUUUGUGGGCAACCACAAUCAAUACUAGGCUAGUAAACAGAUGUGUGGAAGAAAUCACCUUAUGGCCUGAGGGAUUGAGGGGGUAUUGAUCGAGGGCUAUAAAGUUUUGAUGUGUCACAUCAUAUAUUAUAUUAAGUGUCACAUGGAGUGUUUGGACAUUAAUAAGAAAACUAAUAAUUACAUAAGCCGUCAGUAAACCGCGAGACGAAUUUAUUAAGCCUAAUUAAUCUGUCAUUAGCAAAUGUUUACUGUAGCACCAUAUUGUCAUUAUCAAAUUACAAACUUAAGUAUCAUGCACCAAAAUUUACCUUAUUAAUAACGUCAACAAUUAAGAAAAAUAGAGGUUUUUUUAAUGUUUUAUAUGAUAAGUUAAACAUGUAUAAUGAAAUUUUUCAUGAUGAAUUAGUAAGAACUUCAAAUGAAAUUCAUUCUAAGUUAAUAAUAUCGACAAUUUUAAAAGACAACAGGGUUUUUAAUUGUUUUAGUUGCCGAAUAUCUGUAGAUGUAAAUAACUACUUAGCAAAUUAAGCAAGCCUUUUGAUUUAUACAAAGGGAAUAUUUUAAAUUGCCAGAACAAAGUAAAGCAUCUAUAAAAAUGAUAAGCUCCUCAAAAGCCCUUCCACAUGAAUUAGUUUCAGAAACCUUGCAAUAGUUCCACACGAAUACAGUUCAAAUGGAUAUUUAUUACAGGAUCAAAUAUGUAGUGCCAAGCAGGUCUGAUGAUCGUUUACGUGUCAAGCAAACAGAACAGGAGACGAAGAUAAAGGCCACAGUUUUACAAAGUCAAUCCAACAUAAGAUUCCAGUGACCAAUUCAAAUCCUAAUCUUGAUUUCUAACUCUUCUGCUCACAGCUUCCCGGACAUGUACGUUCCACCUACAUGCAUGAUUCAAAAGCAUUCACGUCAAACCCAAAGUAAAAUCUCUCUACCAGUUUCUAUCAUAUAAGGUGUAAUAUGGUGCUAAUCGAUUCAUUCCAUUUCGUAUUAGGGAACAAACAUUUAUAUGUACCUCUCUCAGCAAUCUAUUCCAUUUGUAAAAAAAAAAAAAUCCUCCGACCGUCAGCCUCUACAAAAUCUCUGUGACUCCAGAAUAUUGUUUCCUUCCCCUAUCCGCCUCUACAAAAUCUCGACAGCUGCUGUAACUCCGGGGUAUUCCUGAGUUAUUUACAAAUUCGAUUAACAGUUAAUAUACAUAAUUGCGCGCACUAAAUAAGGUAUAUUAAAAAUCUCUCACCUCGAGGAGUUCUUGACAGUUCUGAACGUGUAAUAAACGAUGCUCCUCCGUACGGAAUCGCACAGCACAUCCGUUCUCAGGGCAGGCAGCACCAUAAAGUCCAUGAUUUUCGUAAACAUGAUUUUCGUAAACAUGUUUGAUUACCUGCAUAGAGAGAAAGACAAAUUUGUAAAUUUGUUUUGUUCAUAAAUAAGUUUAUUUCUAUCCUCGCACUUUUCUUUGAGUAGGAAGGGGUAAAUCUCUACUUUCCUUAAAAAAUAAGAUAUGCUUCUAUCGUCCGUCAAAAAACCGUGAGAGAAAAAACCGUGCGAAAAAAACCGGGCAAAAAAACUAUGUCCGAUAAAAAAACGGACGAAACAAAAAAAUCUCCGCGGACGAAAAAAAAACCAUGUGAAACAAAAAAAACAAAGUCUGAUCAAAACGGGCGAAAGAAGGGAAAAAACCGGAAAAAAAGAAAAAAAAAGUCCGAUCCAAAAAAGUAGGGACGAAAUAAAGGAAAAAAAAGAAACUAAUCUGACUUGGUCUACACGGUAAAAAAAGGGCGAAAAAAGGAAAAAAAUUUAAACGAAUCCGAUUCUGUCGACGCGGUAAAGAAAAGGGCCAAAAAAAAGAAAAAAGUAUAUGUCCGAUUCCAAAGAAAAUCGAAUCCUAUUAUAUGUGACACGGCGUGGUAAAAAAACAAAUCGAAUCCGAUUCCAUCAACGCGGUAAAAAAAACAAGCGUAAAAUUUUUUUCUGUCCGAUUCCAAAAAAAAGUACGAAAAAAGUUUUUCGUUUCUCUUUCUCUAUCUAUCUGUAUAUUUAUCUCUAUCUCUACUACUUAAAAAUUAAAAAGUGUUUCCGUCGUCCAUCCGUGAAAAAAAGCGUGAAAAAGAAAUCGGCGAAAAAAAUCGAAUCUGAUUAUAUGUGACGUGGUAAAAAAAAUAAAGAUGUUUCUGACAUCCGUAGUAACGAAAAAAGGGCAAAAAAAAUGAAAAAAAAGGAAAGUCUGAUUCAAUAUCUAUAUAUACCUAAUUAAAAUUUUUUUUAUGGAUUAUAGGUUAUAGAAAUGCCAUCGCACGUGCGAUCGAUUCCGCUUUAAUCCCUCUCUGAUGGCAAAAAAUAAAAAGAGAAAAGAAAGAAAAAAAAUGAGAGACCGCAUCAAAUUUGGACCUAAAUUCUAAAGAAAACACUACUACAAGAAUAGAAUAUAAGAUCAGAUUCAAGAAAACUAAGAAAACGCUGACGCCGGAAGGGGAGGGUGUCGCCGUCGCUGCUGAACCGCUACCACCGUCGCAGGGAUGUCGGUAUGUCGGGCCGUCGCCACAUUGUUUUGAGAGAGAGGGGGGAGGGGAAAUGAUUUUAGGGUUAGGGUUUGGGCCGUUGAACUUUUAUAUAGGUCGGGAUGACCGUUUAUCAGAUCGGACAGCUCUGGCUUCUCCCGCGUCAGGCCGAACGCCAUUCCC